rnacentral:lncRNA from 1 species
UCUCCCCUUAGCUCUUGAAGUUUUGGGUUCAUUUUUGUGCGGUAGAGAUAUAAUUCAAUGGAGAAGUGCAAUCGAAAGACUUAAACAAGAUUCUAACAAAGAAAUUCUUGACACACUACGAAUUAGCUUUGAUGAAUUGGAAGAACGGGAGAAGAAUAUAUUUCUAGAUAUAGCAUGCUUCUUCAAUGGUGAGAAGAGAGAUUUGGUAAUGAAAGUAUUGGAUGGUUGUGAGUUUUUUCCAGAUAUUGGAAUCGAUAUUCUUAUUAAGAAAUCUCACAUAAAAGUUAGUGAUGACAACCAACAUUUGCGGAUGCAUGCCUUGUUGCAAAAAAUGAGAAGAAAAAUUGUUGAAGAAUAAUAUGUUGAUGAACCUGGAAAACGUUGUAGAUUGUAGAAGGAAAAGGAUGUCCAUCAUGUCCUAACAAAAAACACGGUAAAUCAUUCAACAAAAAUUAUAUACAAAAUUUUCUUUUUAUCAAUAUAUGAUGUCAAUCCAAACUUAGUCUAAUUGGCUUACAUAUGGAUCCGUAAGUGACAUUGAGUAGCUUUGAGAUAAUUUCUAUUUGUUGAUUAUAAAUAUUAAUAAUGAUUUGUAAUAUAAGUGUUUAAGUUUAUUGAAUUACUCUCAUUAGAAAAUAUUUUAUUUACUAUAUUUCGACCAAAAGAUUGUAAUAAUGUUGAACAUGUAUGUAGGUUUCCAAAGUUUUAUUGUACAAUUUAGAUCAUUUAUUUUGUCUUCUUAUUGUUUAUUGUUUAUUAUUUUUAGGCUACCGAAGUGAUUGAAGGUAUGAUCAUCGACAAUAAAAGGUAAGAAAAAAAACAUAUAAAUUUAUCAAUAUGUACUAUUAGUAUUGUUAUUAUUCUUUGUAAAAAAAUCCAAUAAAAAAUAACAACAAAAAAAACCUUUUGGCUUCGCUUGGUAGAGUGGAAAGAAAAUCAAACGGGUGGAAAACUGAGUGGAAAGAUGGAAAAUUGAAUGGAAAAUAUAUUUCCCUCCUCACUAUUGCUUGCGAAAAGUGAGAAGGAAAGAAAAUAAAACAUUUGAAAAUAAAAUAUCUCUCUCUCAUUGUCUUCCUUCUCAUUCCAAUUUGGAAUGAUUCAGUUUUUUGCAUUACAAUGGAAAUUGAUCAUAUAUCGAUGCAACAUAGCUUUUAGACAUUGAAUGUCUUUGUAUAUUUUGAAGGUCAUUUUUGUUUUACUCAUGGUUAUUAGGGAAUCGAGCAAGAUGCUCAAUUUGAGUGCCGAUACCUUCUCGAAGAUGAAAAACUUGAGAUUGCUCAAAGUGCUUUGCCAAUCAAAUUGUGAUGAUCUCAAAUACCUUUCUAAUGAACUACGACUUUUAGAUUGGACAGGAUAUCCUUUAAGAUACUUACCUUCAAGCUUCCAACCAGACAACCUUGUUGCACUUCUUUUACCAGAUAGUCGCAUUAAACAACUAUGGAAGGGAAAUAGAGUAAGAAUUAACUCAUCUUAUCCUUGUGUUUUAGCUUAUUUUAAUAUAAAUUAUUAAAUUCUGAUUAAGGUAAAAAUACAAAAACAAAAUUGAGAAUUAUUAUGCUUUCUCUUCUCUCUCUAAUUUAUUAUUGUCUUCAAUAGCCCUUGUAUAAGUUGAAAAUAAUGAACCUCGAAAGUUCCCAAAACUUGAUCAAGACACCAAACUUCACAACAGCAUCAAAUCUUGAAGUUUUAAUUUUGGAAGGCUGUACCAAAUUAGUGGAUGUUCAUCCAUCAAUAGGAGUGCUUAAGAGCCUUAAACUUUUGAAUUUAAGAGAUUGCAAAAGUCUUAGGACUCUUCCAACCAAAAUUGGAAUGGGAUCUCUUGAAACUUUAAUUCUUUCGGGUUGCUCAAGUCUUGUAAGGUUUCCGGAGAUUGAUGGGAAAAUGGAACGUCUAAAAACUCUAGAUCUUUCUGGUUGUUAUAGAGUUGAAAAUUUCUCGGAGAAUUUGCAGCAAGCAAAGUUGCGACCAAAUUUGUUUUCUCUUUUCAAGGUAAUCCAAGGAAGAAGGACAACUCCCGUGGCUCCAAUGUUGCCUUUGUUGUCAGGUUUGAGUUCAUUAAGACGGCUAAGUCUAAGGGACUGCAAUCUUUGUGAAGGAGAUAUUCCACGUGAUAUUUCUGGUAUAUCCUCUUUAAAACAUCUUGAUCUACGUGGUAACAAUUUCAUCAGCAUACCUGCAUCUCUUACUGGACUCUCGAAGCUUGGGUUUCUUGACUUGUCAAAUUGCAACAUGUGCACUCUUGGCGAAGCAGAUAUUCAUAGUUAUAUUUCUGGUCUAUCCUCUUUGGUACAUCUUGGUCUUAGUGGUAACAAUUUCAUCAGCAUGCCUGUAUCUCUUACUCGACUAUCCAAGCUUCAGUUUCUUGGAUUGUCAUAUUGCAAGAUGCUUAAAUCGUUGCCUGAGAUACCGACAAGGUUAGGACACGUGUGUCUAGAUGGUUGUUCUUCACUUGAAGUAUGCAAUUUAGUGGAUUCGGCUGCCUUUAGAGCGAUUAACUGCUUCAAAUUGGCUGAGAAUAUCAAUGCAUUAACACUACGUGAAGUAUGCAAUUUAUUGGAUUCGGCUGCCUUUAGAGCCAUUAACUGCUUCAAAUUGGCCGAGAAUAUGAAUGCAUUAAUAGUGCUGAAAAAACAGCUUAAGGUCGAUCAAUCUCCAUUUUCUCCCUUACAAAAUCUCAUACUUGAGAAUUUAUGGUUUUAGUUACCAAACGACUUGUGUUUUAUUUUGCAGGCAUUCGCAAAUUCAAGAAAAAAUUUUGAUAUUAUUAUGCCCGGAAGUGAAAUCCCAGAAUGGUUUAGCCAACAAAAAAGCGACUCUUCAAUUAACAUACCCCUGCCGAUCAACCUUCAGAAAGAUAUUCAAUGGAUUGGAGUUGCUUGCUGCUGCAUUUUUGUCAGUAAUGAUGCUUCAAGGGAUGACAAAAAUAUCAGUUGUGUAGCAUAUAUCUAUUGUAGAAAUUCUGAACAAGCCAGCUGUAAUGGAUCUAUCUUUCGAGGUAGAAAUUAUCGACGGAUUGAUUGGAGAGGCUGGGGGCUGCGUGAACCAAUAAUGAAAGAUCACCUUUUUCUUCGUUAUUGGUCUCGUGAAUUAUAUUCUUCCUUGGAGGAUAAAUAUGACGACUGUGAAACCACUAAUUUAUGGACAACACAUUGCUUAGAUAAAAAAUGCGACGAGCUUAAGGUGUCUUUCUUGGGAUACAGUGUUAAGGUGAAGAAGUGUGGUUUUAGAAUAGUGUAUGAGAAAGAUUUGGAAGAGAUAAAAGAGUUGCAGUGCCAUACCACUCAAUCUUCUCCAAAUUUUGAACACAUGCACCAACACUCUGCUCACAACCAUGGAUCAGUAGGUAGCACUUCUCACAUAAAAUAGAAACCUAAUAUCUACGAUGAAGCGGAGGAAGAAUGGCCGCAACCAAAACAGAUGCAACUUUUUUUUCAAUUUUUUAUAAUUGGCCAAUCCGGGAAGACGCAUUAACUAUGGUAAAUUACUUAACCAACCUUGUCCUACUAAUUUUUUUUACUCAUCUACCUUGUUUACAUCUUUUAUUUCAUUUAAAGUAAUCAUUCUAGACUUAUUUGCAUAUGAGAGAUAUGAUCAUUUUAUUAUAUACUAAAUUUUUAAAAAAAAAUACCAUUUAAAAUUUUAUUCACUUAAUUCAUUCUUUUUUACAAAAUUGAAAUGUGUACAUUUUGAUAUUUAUUAAAAUUUUAUUCUCCUUAUAUAUAUUCACUUACAUCUAUAUUUUAUUUUUAGGUUGAAGUAAAUAUAAUCAAUUGAGAUAGAAAUGUGGAGAAAAAUAGAUAGCUUCGACGACGAUACAGGUAAUAAUAAGGUGAAAAUCCUUUAAUGAGGAUUAGAUCAUAAUUUCGGCUAAGUUAAAAACCAUUUUAUUUUUAUUUGAGACCAACUUAUGUGUUCAAUUUAAUCAGUCAAAAUUGUUUUUUUAUAUAUUUAGAAGAUUAAAUAUAAGUCCUUAAUAGUACUUAAAUAGAUUUAAUUCCUUCUAAUAAAAGUACCAUUUAAAUUUCAUGGCUUGAAGUAUAAAUAAUAUUAUUCUAACUCUUCAAUUUAUAUUUUUUUACAAAGUAUUUGAGUUUAGACAUUUAUUUUUAACACUUGUUCAAAUAUAAAAAUAAAGUACACUCUUUUAAUUAUUUGGAAAAUCUUUUCCAUGUCAGAGACAUUUUCAUAUCCAAUAUUUUUUUUCAAAAUUCUAUAAUUUCAUUUUUGUUAUUGACUAAUGUACUUACUGUUUAGAGAAAUAAAAAUAUGAUUUUUGGUCGAUACAAGUAAGAUUUUCAAUGAUUGUAUUUAUGUGAUAUCAACAAAAAUUUCUCAAUUUGAGGUAAGUUAAUAUAGAUGAUCUCAAUGCAACAAAAAUAAUGAUGGUGUUUUAUGUUUGUCCCCUAGACCAAUAGAAGCAUGAAAGUCUGCUCAAAGGAUCAUGCAAGUGAGGGAUCAACAAAAGUCAUCAAGUUGGAAUGGAAGCGGACACCUUAGCAAUUAUAGGCUCGGACGAAUUUAGGGAAUUAGCAAAAUAUAAUAAGUUGUUUUUAUCAUGUAAUGUAAUGUAAAUUAUACAUAUUGAAAUGAACGUUGUUUUUCAAAUGUAAAUUCAAAUAGUAAUUUAAUUGUAUUGUAAAUAAAACCUUUAAAGUUAGGCAUAAUGAUAAAAAAAAGGUUGUUAGUGUUUAUAAAAUUUGACAAGUUGACCUAUAUUCAUUUCUUUUUAGUAAUUUGGCUCUCAACAUUUUAUUGAGUCAAAUUAUGAAUUUUCAAAUGCAAAAUGCUGAUGGAACCAUUAAUUUAACAAUGUUGACAUGACAUAACAAUGAAUUCAUUUCAAUUCAUCAUUAAACUUUUCAAGUGUAUCUCAAUUAGACCAUCUUUUCCUCCAACUCAAAGACGCGAUAAAAGUGAAGAAAAUUGCAUUUGAUUAGUGCACAAUUUUCUUCUGAUUUCUUUCAUAAUUGAUGCACAAUUUAUGAUUGUUUUAAAUGAAUGAACUAUUCAAAUUAAAAACCAAUAGAAUGAAAUUAUCAAAUGUUAAACGACUUGACUAGCCUUUUCAAGAUAUUUUCUCCUAUUUAAUUAAGUUUCUCUUUUUCCCUGUUUUUGUUUAAUCGUACAAAUAGAUUCUUAUUUACCAUAAUUAAGUAUUCUUUAUAUCCGCAACAUUGAUUGAUGUGACGGAACUCUUAAUAUAUAUUCGUGUCCAUAAUACGAAUACUAGGAUAUCAUUUGGAAGUAAAAUAAAAUCCUAAAUAUAAUUUCAACUUUUCAAACCUUUGAUUGAGAUGCAAAAAAUGAUGUCCAUAGAAUUCGGGAAUGUGCAAACAGAUUGUCGUCUCAGCAAUCAACAUUUACCAAAGAGAAAAGAAUGGUGGGAAUCUGUUUUUUUAUAAAAACAUGAAAAGGAAGACGGGAACAGUAAUAUGUCUGAAUGGAUAAAAAAGUAAAAAUAUCCCAUUUUCACAAAACAAUUAUUUAGUAUUUAAUAACACUGCCUUCCAACUCCACCAUUGCUUCAUUUCAACUUUGUAUAUCUAAACUCCAAAUCUCAGUCACUAGAUAUCAUCCAAGCUCUGUCCUCUCUAAUUUACCUAUCAAACUUCUUUUAAUAAUUGUAUACAAUUCCCUAAACCUCACUAUUCAUUUAAUAACUUUUUUUCUCAAAAGUAAAUUUUGAAGGCUAAAUUUGUUAUUAAAUCAAUAAACUGUAAUUAACGGAAAAGUGAUCAAAAUAUUUUAUUUCAAAAAAUUUAGUGAUUAAAUAAAAAAAUUAAUAAUUUAGUGAUCAUUUUAUAAUUUACUUAAUCGAUUUGAAAUAACAUUACAUAAUAAUUACAUGUGAAUAUAAAAUAUCAAUUACAAAAAUAAAGUUAAGAAAGCAUUCAAAAUUAUGUUAGUUUUACAUGUCAUCCUUCCCCUUAUUAUAUUUAUCUAAAGUAAAAAGAACUUAUCAUGUGAUAAUUUAUAAUAUAUAUAACAAAAUUUAAGACUUUUAUAUAUUGACUUUUUUCCUAAAAUUAAAAUUUUUUAAGGCUACAAAUAAAUUAAUAGUUGCCUUGCUAUGGAGCGAAAAGCAAAUAAGAUCCUAGAGACUUACACAAGGUUUAUUUGGAAGAGUGGUGAAAUUAGUUUUAAAGAGAUUAAAUAUACCGUUAAGGUAGUAAUAAAAUUAAAUACUAUUGCGGUAAGAUAAAAUUAAUGAUGAGAUAUGUUAUUGAAGACAAACUCACUUAUGAUGGUGAGAUGAUAUGUAAUAAAAAUGCAAAAUGAUCAUUAAGGACAACAAAUUUAUAUAUAUUAAUAGAUUUUUUACUCAUUAAACCAUUAAUGGCAUAUAUAUAUAUAUACAUUAAUUUACAACUUCUAUUUGCUCAUGGGAUUUUACAAUCGUCGUGAACCUUUGUCAUCUUUAUAAACCACUAGUGAUUUACAUGGCAAUUGACACUUGAAACACAAAAAAAUAUAUAUCAGAUGUUGACUGAUGUGUGGUGGUGGGCUACUGAUUUUAUAAUUUUAACAAUUUUUUAUUUUUAAAAAUUUUGAAGUUUUUUUUUAUAUUUUUAUGUAUCUCUCAUCAUUUUUUUAAUUUUUAUAUAAUUUUUUUUGAAUUCUUACUUAUUUUUAUAUAUUUUUUGAAUUUUUUAUUGUUUUAAUUUUUUUAUAACUUUUAUAUAUAAUCAUGUCCAAAUUGAUAGAAUAUAUCAACAUUAAGAGCUAAAUUUGUUAUUAUGACAAUUAAAAAAUAUACAAUUAAAAAAUGUCAUAUUAUUAUUUUGUUACUCAAUUAUCGGUUGAGUGACAAAAGAAACAAAACAAUGUCAAAACCUUGGGGACCAUAUGAUAAAGGAUUUAAAAAUAACCAUUUACAUAAGUAAUACCAUGUUAUCAUUUUGUUACUUGGGGACCAAAACGAAAACUAAAAGUGCACUUUAUCCUUGUUUUAAAUAUUAAAGAUAAUAUGUUGUUCAAAGAAGAGAAUAAUUAUAAGCUUUUCUCUCGACGAUGAACGAACUGGGAUCUUGCAAAGUAUCAACUUUCUCUUGCAUUUCUUUGAUCUCAUUCUCAACUUCCCAACUUGGUGUAGCUCUGAUCUGGAAACGUCAGACAAUUUAUUGUUUAGUUGUUCCUUGAUGCGUAAUUUUUGGUACUGUACUUUGUCGUGGUGGGGGGAUUGAAGGCUGUCUAUCACGAUCAAUCCUUGGUUUUUUUGUUGAAUGCAAUGACUGGAUGUUUAAAGGUGAUAUUAAACAGUGGUGGCUCCUCUGCUGUGCAGCGGGGUUAUGGUCGAUAUGACUGGCGCGUGAGACUCUCUUUCUUGCCAAGCUUAGAGCUCUUUUUUGGGUGAGAGCCUUAUCAGGUGUUGAAAUCCAAGAGGAUAAUUAGUGGAAUUGGCUUUUACAGUGUAUCUCAAUCUCUGCCAAAUAGCAACCUUUGAGGCUAUUUUGUCUGUGAAUUCACCCAAAAUCACCACUGAUCAAUCUGCCAUUCUAGAACUGAAUUCUCAUAUAACUCAUGAUCCUUACAACCUCUUAAUAACCAAAUUGGUCUACUUCUACCUCUAUUUAUAACCGAAUUGGUCUCACAUACGGAUCCAGACACCACAAAGUCACCAAUCUAAAUUUAUCAAGCAUGAAUAUCGCAGGCACCAUUUCAUCUCAAUUGGAAAAUCUAUCUUUCCUUGCGUGGCUCUAAAUUCAUGAAAACAGUUCCCAUAGUUCUUUACCUAUUGCGUUAACAAAUUUGUAUCGAGUACUGAAAUGUUUGAAGUUUGGGGACAACAACUUCAAUGGAGAAAUUCCAUUGUGGUUUGGUCACAUCGCUGAACUUCAAGUCUUAUAGUUGCACAUUAACAACUUCACUGGUCUUAUCCAUCUAUUUUGGGAAAUUUGUCAAAACUAGAAAAGUUAAAAUUGAGUGAGAAUCAAAUUUCCAAUAGAAUUCCUAAUAGCUUAUUCAAGUGCAAAAAGUUGAAGCUUUUAUCCUUGUAUAUCAACAAUUUAGAGGGAAGUAUAUAUACCUACAGAAAUCGAAAUUUUAACUAUGCUCAACACUUAGUAUCUCGAUGAUAACAACCUCAAAUGUAAGCAAUUCAUGGUUAUUGUUUUUUUCGUUCAUUCUUAUUUAUGGCAAUUGAGCCAUCUACCAAUUAAUUGAAGUCAAUUAUGCCAACUUCUUAGAUAAGCUAAUUGGAAUAACCUGCUUUAAUAAUAUUCCUAAAAAAUGUAAGAUUUUCAAUGCAACUCUUAAUUGGCGUCAAAAACUCAUAGUCACCUCCACAAUCCCAUAGUUGGCGAAUAAUAGAGUUAGAUAUCUCCUCAUCCUUAAUUUCUUUGUGAGAUGUAUGAAUGAGCUAAAACUAAAGUGUUGGUUUAUAUAUUUUUUAAUGCCACUGAAAUUGUUAAUGUGCAACUGUAGACUCGAAACUCAGCAAAGUGACUAAACCAUGAUGGAAUUUCUCUAUUGAAGUUGUUGCCACCGAAGUUGAAAAUUUUCAGCCAAUGCAAAUUUGUUAAGGCACUGGGUAAAGAGCCUUGGAAACUAUUUUAAUGAAUGUUGAACAAAUCAAGAAAAGAUAGAAACUUUUUUCUGGAGGGCUUUGUCCAAUAUUUGGGAAGAUGUAGUGGAUGGUGUCUAUUGGGAUCUAGGAAAUGGGAGAACGGUGAAUUUCUCCGAAACUCAAGCAGCUUUUUCUGUGAAUGGGGUAAUCUUUUUGCUAUGGCCUGCUGGAGACUUUUGACUAAUAGAAAUGCCUUUGUUUUCAAUAGUGGCGUCGUGGGAACUAUGGUAUUAAGGAAUGAGUGCUUUUCGUGGUCUCCGCGUAUUAUGGAGGUAAAGUUAAAGCAGAUUUGAACAGCACUAAUCAAGCGGAGUUGAAUAAUUUGGCACUUGUUAAUUUAUUAGAAAGGAAGAUGAGUGCGUAAUUUGUAUAUAUAUAUAACAAGGAGUUUGAAAAUAAUUUUGAAAAUAACCUCUAUUUUUUUUAUAUUACUAAAUUCAUAUUUAAAAAUAAAUUAUAAUUUAAUAGGAAUUUUGAUUUUGAAUUGACGAGAAUACCAUUUGUUUUCAUUCAUAUUAUUAAAUUCAUAUUUAAAAAUAAUUAUAAUAUUUAAUUUAGAAUUAUUGGUUAAAGAAAGUUGAAACAAAAUAAAACUUUUGAUAAUUAUACAUUUAAAAAAAAUUAUAAUUGCUAACUGAGUUCAACUCGGUUGACAUCGAUAUUAUUGCUAAUACAAGAGUAUGUAUGUUCAAGCAUGUUGAAGGGCAUUUAUAAGGGUUGGGAAAGAGUUAUGGGUAAUUUUAGGCAUUUUAUCAAAAUAAAAUAAGUAUAAUUUAAUAGAAGUUGUGAUAAUUACCCAUCUAAAAAUAAUUACAAUUAAAAUUACAAUUAUUAAUUUAAAAAACUUGUACUAAUGUUAAAAUUGAGUUAUAACUUCAAUAUAACCUUAAGAAUAAAAUAUAGGGAAAAUAUUUUAUGAUAAUUAUAAUUAUAAUUUAUCAUUAUUAAAUAUUUUUUUUUGACAUAAACAAAAGUUAUGUUAAUUUAAUUGAUAUAAAAUAGAGUUAUUUUUAAUAGAAUUUUAAUUAUAUUAAUUAUCACUUAAUUAAUAUUAGUUAAUUAGUUAUUAUUUUGAAUAAUAAAGUAAAACGUCAAAUUUCCAAUAGAAUUUCCAACACUUCACUUUAUAAUAAUUGUAGGCUCCACACCUAUAACCCCGAAUUUCCACACCUACUCCCUUUCAUAGCUAUUAUUAUACUGAUAGAUUCAUUUGGCAAAGUACACAGAAAUUCCUUACGAAGUCCUCUGUUUUUCCCUCAUAUGCUUGCUGCUUCUACUUUGUUUCUGAGGUAUUGAGCCAUCUGUUUUCUGAUUUUGAACAUUACAUCCACAUAUAUUUUUCUUCUCAUACAUCCUCAUGUCGUCAUUACUUUCGACUUCCUCAUCCAUUUCUAGAAAGAAAUACGAUGUUUUCUUGAGUUUUAGAGGUGAAGAUACUCGCAAGAACUUCACGGAUCAUCUCUACGAUGCUCUAAAUAGAAAUGGGAUCAUCACUUUUAGAGAUGAUCCAAAGUUGGAAGCUGGUGAAGAGAUCGCACCGGAACUCUUCAACGCAAUUCAGCAAUCAUGGUGCUCGGUAAUCGUUUUUUCGGAAACCUAUGCCUUUUCAGGUUGGUGCUUGGAGGAGCUUGCGGAGAUUGUUAAACAAAAAAAUGACAAGGAUCAUAAAGUAUUUCCAAUUUUCUACGAUGUGGAUCCCUCUGAUUUAAGAAAACAAAAAGGAAAAGUUGAAGAAGCCUUCGCCAAACACGAAGAAAGAUGCAAAGAAAAUAAAGACAAGAUCCAAAAGUGGCGAAAUGCUUUGACUGAAGUGGCUAACAUCAAGGGAUGGCAUUUACAUAAUAGGUAUUUCUUUCUUUUCUUCUCUAUUUCCUAGUUUUAAUGACUAAAAAAAUUAUUAUUAUUAUUUUGGAUUGCAUGUUAUUUUUUAUAACUUUGUUUUUAAUUGAGAAUUAUCUACAUAUAUUAGAAACAGAGCUUAUUAGAACAUAAUAGAUGCAAAUUUAUAGUUCUACCCCCACCCGCUACACAUUAUCUCCAACCAUCCCAAGGCACCAUAUAUGACAUUAUAUACUCAUCCAUCCCUACACACCAUUUAGCGUCGGUAUGACACUUUUCAAAUAAUUUGUAGCUGAGUUGCCAGUUUAUUAAGCGAUUUAUCGCCGUUUACAUAAAUAUGUAUGGUUGUGCCACCAAAUACGGUAGAAAUAUAUCUGCUCACACUUCCUCCAUAUACACAAUCCCAUCCCUAAAUGCACAAACAUAUAGUAAUAAUAGAUGUUGGAAAUGUAUAUCUCAUACAUGCUUAAUAUCAAACUCAAGUCAUGCUUACCGUAUAUCAAAUCAUACAUAGCAUAUUAUAGAUUUUACUUAAUUUAUAACAUACGUUCGACCCAAAUGAUGUUUAUGGAACUAGGGAAAAUUUCAAAAUUUUGGGCCCACACGGUCUCACACACGACCGUGUGGGCAACACGGGUCCAAAUGACCCAGACUUUGUGGCUAGACAAUUUCUCACUAGGCUGUGUGGCGUCGACAGUGCAGUUUUUCGACUUUUGUCGUUUGUUGUUUUUCGGGUCAUUACACAUCCGAAUAUGAUUCCAAAAAUGAGUAAUCCCCCACCUAAAUUGACAAUUAACACAACCAAUUUUAGUAAUGAUUUGCAAAAUCUAACUAAGAAUUGACCACAACCGAGCUUAUACAACCCUCCAAAAAUACAUCCACAUACUUACCAUUAAACGAACAGCUUCUAUGCAAAUCCUAAGUCGCUGGAGGAACACAAAACACAUCUUGAACUUCUCCUAAAACAUAGCGGAUUAAUUAGAUAACACAAAAAAAUACAAAUUUCGCACCAUACAAACAAAAUUCCGAAAUCCCCAAAUGCCCAACGAACAAUUUCACAAAAGAACACAGUAAAAGAUGAUCGAACCUUACCGCUAAGGAUUAGGGCCAACCAAAUAGAAGCUAUACCAUAAAGAAGUAACAAAAGAACCGAAACACGAAGGUAAAGAAGCCAAACAAAAAAGUUGAAAAAGGAAAAACAAAAAAAAAAGAACCGAAGAAAGAAGUGGGAAGAAAACAAAAACGUGAAGCGAAGUUGAGGCAAAGGUGGGAAAUUUUGGGAAAGAAAAAAAAACUAAAAUAAAAAUAAUAAAAGAACAAAAAUAAGAACAAAAUCCCUCUCAAAUCUAAUCCAACAACCUGCUAACUUACCAUCGUUUUUUAAGAGUUUAAAACAAAACCCAAUCCAACACCACCAACCUAAACAAUUGACCAAGAAGGUCUAACAAAAAUAAUUUAAUUCCCCAAAAUAAAAACAUGACUUAAACCCAAGACCUCACAAACAAAACUAAGACACUAAACCACUAAUGCAAAUACUGAUUGAUGACAAAAUUUAACAAAUCUGAAGUGGGCGUUACAUCAACUAACGAGCAAGUUGUGUAUUUUGAUGCUAUAACAGAUCUUGCUGUCUUAUUCUUGUUUUUGUUUGCUUCCAACUACAUUAUAUUUCAUGAUUCACUUACCUAAAAAUGAAAAAGUGCAUUUGAAAGAUAACAUCCGAAUUUAAUUUCUUUGUAGGCAUGAAUCAAAGUUUAUCGGAGACAUGGUUAAGAAGAUUUCAGCAAAACUAUGUCAGACAUAUCUGAUUGUUCAUGAUGAGUUGGUUGGAAUUAGUUUACCUUUGGGGGAGUUGCAUUCGAAAAUAAACAUUGGGGAAGACGAUGUCCGCAUUAUAGGAAUUUGCGGAAUGGGUGGCAUCGGUAAAACAACUCUUGCAAAAGUUCCUUAUACUCAAAUGUUACCUCAUUUUGAAGGUAAAUGCUUUCUUGCUGAUGUUCGAGAAGUUUCAAACAAACAUGGACUUGUUUCUUUACAGAAACAACUCCUUUCUCAAAUCUUGCCAGAUGAAUGCUUCAAUUUUUUCAAUGUUCAUGAAGGGAAUGCCAUAAUUAGCCAUAGGUUGUCUAGAAAAAAGAUUCUUGUUGUUCUUGAUGAUGUUGAUAACGUACAACACUUGAAAUGCUUGGUUGGAAGGCGUGAUUGGUUCAGUUUAGGGAGUAGGAUCAUUGUAACAACAAGAGAUGAACAUUUGCUCAGAUCUUAUCGAAUCGAUGAUGUGUAUAAGCCUACAACACUGAAUCCCAACGAUGCACUUAGGCUUUUCAAUUUGAAAGCUUUUGAUAGUGAUACAACGCCGAAAUAUGAUUUCAUUGACCUUUCUAAACAAGUUGUACAUUAUGCUGAUGGUCUCCCCUUAGCUCUUGAAGUUUUGGGUUCAUUUUUGUGCGGUAGAGAUAUAAUUCAAUGGAGAAGUGCAAUCGAAAGACUUAAUCAAGAUUCUAACAAAGAAAUUCUUGACACACUAAGAAUUAGCUUUGAUGGAUUGGAAGAAAGAGAGAAGAAUAUAUUUCUAGAUAUAGCAUGCUUUUUCAAUGGGGAGGAGAAAGAUUUGGUAAUGAAAGUAUUGGAUGGUUGUGAGUGUUUUCCAGAUAUUGGAAUCGAUGUUCUCAUUAAGAAAUCUCUCAUAAAAGUUAGUGAUGACAACCAAUAUUUGCGGAUGCAUGCCUUGUUGCAAGAAAUGGGAAGAAAAAUUGUUGAAGAAAAAUGUGUUGAUGAACCUGGAAAAUGUUGUAGAUUGUGGAAGGAAAGGGAUGUCCAUCAUGUCCUAACAAAAAACACGGUAAAUCAUUCAACAAAAAUUACAUACAAAGUUUUCUUUUUAUCAAUAUAUGAUGUAAAUCCAAAACUUAGUUUAAUUAGUUUACAUAUCAAUCCGUAAGUGACAGUGAGUAACUUUAAGAUAAUUUCCAUUUGUUGAAUAUAAAUAUUAAUAAGGAUUUAUAAAAUAAGUGUUCAAUUUGAUUGAUUUACUCUCAUUAGAAAAUGUUUUACUUUAUUUCUGGAAUAAAAUGGAGUAAAGCUUAGUACAGUUGGUUAAUAUAGCAGUCCAUAAAAAAGUGACGUUCAAUAGCAUUGAGAUAAAUUCCUUUUGUUGAUGGUAACUGUUAAUAAGGAUUUGAAAAAAUAAGUAAUUAAUUCAAUCCUCUCAUUGGAAAUAUUUUACUUUAAUUAAAAUAAAUUAUUCUCUAUUCUUACUUUUUUAGGUUACAGAAGUAAUUGAAGGCAUGAUCAUCGACAAUCAAAGGUAAGAAAAUAUACAUACUGUAUUAUUAAUAUUGUUAUUGGUUUUUUUUAGUAAAAGUAUCCAAUAAAAAUCAAUGAAAAUACCUUUAAUGCUUAAUAUUUAAUAUUAUAUUUAUGAAAUUUAUCUAGCAACGCAUUAAUCUUUCAAAAGAAACACAAUAGAGAUAAAUCAUUGCUAUAAUUAAGUGCUUAUAUUUGAUGCACGGAUAGUAUAUCACAGAGAGUAAGAUUUUAAUAUGUCAUCAAAAGUUUUUAAAAUUAAAACCAAUUGAUUUCAUUUUUAAUGACGUGUUACUGUUUCGUUCAAUAACAAUAAAUAGAAUUAUGCAUUAUCAUUGCACUAAUAUAAAUCAAGAUUUAUUUCUAGUUUCUAAAGCUUUAAGUAAUUCGAAGUCAAAAGUGAGUGUUUGAUAGAUAUAUAUGUCUAAAUUGGGUAUGUGUGAUUUUUUUAAAAGGCCUUUUCAUGUAUUUAAAGAGUUCUUGAAGGAUCAUAUAUCAAUGCUUAUAUUUGGACACAUGUUAGAUAUAAGUAUCGGAUCGAUAAAAGUCCUUAAAAUAUAGUAUUGGAGAAACAUAGCUUUUAGGUAUUGAAUGCUCUUGUAUAUUUUAAUGCUCAUUUUUUGUUUGCCUGUGAUUUUUAGGGAAUCAAGCAAGAUUCUCAAUUUGAGUGACGAUGUCUUCUCGAAGAUGAAAAGAUUGAGAUUGCUCAGAGUGCUUUGCGUCUCAAAUUGUGAUGAUCUCAAAUAUCUUUCUAAUGAGCUACGACUUUUAGAUUGGACAGAAUAUCCUUUAAGAUCAUUGCCUUCAAGCUUUCAACCGGACAACCUUGUCGUACUUCUCUUACCAUAUAGUCGCAUUGAACAACUGUGGAAGGGAAAUAGAGUAAGAAUUAAAUUCAUCUAAUCCUUAUGUUUUAGCUUAUUUUAAUAUAAACAAUUAAUUUGUUUAAUAUUAUAAACGGUUAAAAUUUGAACAAGAUAAUAAUAAUAAUAAUAAUAAUAAUGAGGUUUAUUAUGUUGUUUUCUCUUUUCUCUCUAAUCUAUUAUUGUUUUCGACAGCCCUUGUAUAAGUUGAAAAUAAUCAGCCUUAAAGGGUCCCAAAAUCUCAUCAAGACACCAAACUUCACAACAGCCCCAUAUCUCGAAGUUUUAAUUAUGGAAGGCUGUACUAGAUUAGUAGAUGUUCAUCCAUCACUUGGAGUGCUUAAGAGACUUAAACUUUUGAAUAUAAGAGAUUGCAAAAGUCUUAGGAGUCUUCCAACCAAAAUUGGAAUGGAAUCCCUUGAAACUUUAAUUCUUUCGGGUUGCUCAAAUCUUGCAAGGUUUCCAGAGAUUGAUGGGAAAAUGGAACAUCUGAAAACUCUUGAUCUUUGUGAUUGUUAUAAAGUUGAAUAUUUGCCAGAGAGUUUGCAUCAAGCAGAAUCUUUGGAAGAGCUUGACUUGAGUAAAACAGCCAUAAAAGAACCACCACCCUUCAUUUCUCAAUUGAAAAAUCUUAAAGUUCUAUAUUUCGAUGGAUGCAAGGGUCCGUGCAAGUUAAAAAGAAAUCUCCUUUCUCUUUUCAAGGUAAGCCAAAGAGGAAGGAUGAAUUCCAUAGCUUCAAUGCUACCUUCAUUAUCCGGUUUGAGUUCAUUAACAAGGUUGAAACUAAGGGGCUGCAAUCUUGGUGAAGGAGAUAUUCCUAGUGCUAUUUCUUGUCUAUUCUCUUUGGCAUUUCUUGAUCUUAGCUUUAACAAUUUCAACAGAAUACCGGCAUCUCUUACUGGACUCUCCAAGCUUGAAGAACUUAGUUUGUCAAGUUGCGGCCUGUGCAAUAUGGGUGAAGGAGAUAUUCCUAGUGAUAUUUCUGGUCUAUCCUCAUUGAAAGUUCUUUAUCUUAAUAGUAACAAUUUCACCAGCAUAGCUGCGUCUCUUGCUCGUCUUUCCAAUCUUCAAUAUCUUGGAGUGUGUAAUUGCAGAGAGCUUGAAUCGUUGCCCGUGGUUCUAAAAAGGAAGACAAGUGAUUGGAAACAUAAUUGGUCUUACUUUUUAGCCAUUAACAGCUACAGAUUGGCUGAGAACAUGAGUCCAAUAACAUUGCUGAAAACACAUAUUAAGGUUGAUUGAUCUCUCUCUUCUUUUUCAUGGUUUUAGUUACAGAACCACCGAUAUUUUAUUUUGCAAAUUCAAGAACGACUGAUGUUUUAAUUUGCAGGCAUUUGCGAAUUCAAGAAAAAGAUUUGAUGCUGUUAUACCUGGAAAUGAAAUCCCAGAAUGGUUCAGCCAACAAAGAGGCGGCUCUGUAAUCGAAAUACCUUUGCCUCUCAAUAUUCAGAAUGACAGUCAGUGGAUUGGAGUUGCUUUCUGCUGCAUUUUCGGCGAUGAUGAUGGUUCCAAGAUAAAGGUUAUCGGUGGUCCAACUUAUAUCCAUUCUAGAUAUUCUGGACAAUCUAGUAGUAAUGGAUCUGUUUUUCAAGUUAAAAAUAGUCGAAUGGUCGAUUCCAGUUUCCUUAAUUUUUGUGGACGACGCAUAACGAAGGACCACCUUUUUCUUCGAUAUUUCUCGCCAUUAUCAUUAAAGGAUAAAUGUGAAACCAAGAAUUUAUCGCUUGAGAUGUCUUUCCAAUCUUCUCCAAAAAGGUAUCCUUCUGUUAAGGUGAAGAAGUGUGGUGUUAGAAUAAUGUAUGAGAAAGAUUUGGAAGAAAUAAAAGAGCUGCAGUGCCAUACCAUUCAAUCUUCUCCAAACUUGGAACAUAUCCAUCAUCACUCUACUGAAAACGAUGGAUCCGCAGGCAGCACUUCCCCUGUAAAACGAAAACGUGAUAUCGACGUGGAAACAGAGGAAGAAGGGCCGCACCCUAAAAGGAUUCAAAACUUUUUGAAUUUUAUAACGGGCCGAUCAGGGAAGAAGCAAUAAUUGUGUAAACUACUUCACUAGCCCUUUCGUACAAAUUGAUUUUUUCUCCUAUUUAGUUAAGUUUAUCUGUUAUUGUUUGAUUAAUGGUUGAAAUAUUUGAUACAGAGACUUUUACAAUUGAGGAUUCCAACUCCAACAAGAACAAAAGGGCUUCGAGGGCUUAUGCGAAACACUCUAUGGCGGAUAUGGCGGUGAUGGUGGAAGAUGAUAGACCAGAGGAGUCACCAGUCUACGGACCAAGGAUGCUUAUGGAGAGAAAGUUAAGGCCUGAUUUUAGGGAUCCUUGGAAGCCAGGCAACGCUAAUUCGGGGGUUUUGAUUGGGGAUUCUAGAUUUAAAGUUCUUGAUUCUGUCAAUGAUAUUGGGGAAUGUUGGGAGGAAAUAAGGGAGACAAUUCUGGAAGCUAAUAAAAAAGGAAAGGGUGUCUUGGUUGAGGCUGGAGGUAGUGGGGAAGGUCGGACCACUGACCCAAUAAGUUUGAAGCAGGGGUCUGUAGCUAAAGUGGGCCAAGGGAGUGGUAAAGGGGUUAUUUUUUAUAUUAAAAUAAUACACCAAAAAUAUAUAAAAAUUUAGAAUAGCAGUGUUUGCAAGUGCAUGGGUCAAAAUAUUUGAAAGUAUUCUGAGGAUCGUACCCAAGAGAGGAUGGAAUAAAUCUACGGAAACCUUUUUACAAUAAUAAGUCUAAGUAGUAGUAAUUAAUCUCUAAAUUACGAUAAACCAUAAAAUAGAUUAAUGAGAGAAUUUAAAUAAGAAAAAUAACAAUCCACUAAAAUUAAAAAAUCAAUUAGGAAAAUUAACUCGCUUCAAGAUUUGUAAUAAACUUCGGAUUAGGGUUUUAGGAUGGAUUAGCUACUAAUUAGUCAAUUAUUACCUCCCGAUCUCUAACUAAUUAAUCGAUUGAUUUAUACUCGCUUAUCUCCCAACCUCGUCUAGCCUAUGAUAACUUCUUAGGGUCGUCAAACCUAGUUGUUUAAGAACACGUGGGUUUGAGUUCUGACUUGAUUGGCAUCAAUAUUGUUGCUAGUGCAGGAGGACGUGGGUUUGAGUACGCUGAAGCGCGUUAUCCUCCUAUUUAAGGGUGAGGGAGGGACUAUGGAUAGUUUUAGGCAUUGUAUCAAAAAGAACGAAUAUGAUAGGAACGUACAAUAAUGUUUCAAAUAAUAAUAAUAAUAAUAAUAAUUAGAAAACAAAUUCCAGAUAUUAAGACGACAUGAAACUAAUUUGACAUGUAACAAAUAUUAUUAUAAUAUUAAACGAGCCAUUUUUUACUACUCCAAACCUAUUAUUCAAACUCUUUUUCGAACAUGACAUGAAACAAAAGAAUGGAACAAAAUUUCUAAAAGUAAAAGUAUAUUAAAAUAAUUAAAAUGCUACUACCAUUAAUAACAGCCCCAUAUCUCGAAGUUCUGAUUAUGGAAGGUUGUACCAGAUUAGUAGAUGUUCAUCCGUCACUUGGACUGCUUAAGAAACUUAAACUUUUGGAUUUAAGAGACUGCAAAAGUUUUAGGAGUCUUCUAACCAAAAUUGGAGUGGAAUCCCUUGAAACUUUAAUUCUUUCAGGUUGCUCAAAUCUUGCCAGGGUUCCAGAGAUUGAUGGGAAAAUGGAACAUCUAAAAACUCUUGAUCUUUUUGGUUGUUAUAAAGUUGAAUAUUUGCCAGAGAAUUUGCAGUAGACAAAAUCUUUGGAAGAGUUUGACUUGAGUGAAACAACCAUAAAAAAACCACCAUCCUUUAUUUCUCAAUUGAAAAAUCUUAAAGUUUUUUCUUUCGAUGGAUGCAAGGGUCCGUCUAAGUUAAAAAGAAAUCACCUUUCUCUUUUCAAGGUAAGCCAAAGAGGAAGGAUGAAUUCCAUAGCUCCAAUGCGACCUUCAUUAUUCGGUUUGAGUUUAUUAACAAACUUGAAACUAAGGGACUGCAAUCUUGGUGAAGGAGAUAUUCCUAGUACUAUUUCUUGUCUAUCCUCUUUUGACAGAUCUUGAUCUUAGCGAUAACAAUUUCAACAACAUACCGACAUCUCUUACUCAACUCUCCAAGCUUGAAGAUAAGUUCUCAAAUUGCAGCCUGUGCAAUAUAGGUGAAGGAGAUAUUCCUCGUGAUAUUUCUGGUCUAUCCUUAUUGAGAUAUCUUGUUCUUAGUGGUAACAAUCUCACCAGCAUACCUGCGUCUCUUACUCGUCUUUCCAAUCUUCAAUAACUUGGAGUGUCAAAUUGCAGUGAGCUUGAUUCAUUGCAUGUGCUUUUAACAAGGAUGACAACAGAUUGGAAACAUAAUUAGGCUUACUUUAUGGCCGGUAACAGCCACAGAUUGGCAGAGAACAUUGGUGCAAUAACAUUGUUGAAAACAAUAUUAAGGUUGAUUGAUCUCUCUCUCUCUUUUCAUUGUUUUAGUUACAGAACCACCAAUAUUGUUGCAAGUUGGCAACGAUGCAGCAGCAUACAUGCAGCAUGCAAAUGUCCAUGGUGUAUUUCAGUCAUUGAACUUUUGUAACAUGUGACUUAUGUUUGUUUUAAUUGUAACUUCUUCUUCUUCUUCUUUUUUGCCGAGGUUCAGCCAUGUACUUAGUAGAUUUAGUAGGUUUUAGGUUAUCAUUAAGCUGAUAUUACAGCUUGGUUACUUGCAUAAGUAAUGUUUAUUUUCUUCCAAUGUAAUAGAACUAUUUAUGUAUAUGUUAUGUUACUUAUUCAAGUAAUGAGAUAAGUCAUCUUCUUCUCUCAAUCUAACAUACGGUUUUUGCUUCUAUUUUUCAUCUUUCAAACACAAAUUCUUUGUUUUGAUUCUUGUUUAAUGAUUUAAACUCAACAAAUGGUAUUAAGAGCCUAUCAUCUUUUAGGGCCUUUUGUUGUAAGCUAUUCAUUGAGUGACUCGUGCUUGAAAGAAAAGAAACAGAAGCUGUUUUUGUUGGCUUAUUUUAGUUGCUGUAGAAGAAUGAGAUUCCCACCACCACCACCACCACCUAUCUUUGCUGGUGAAAACUACAACAUUUGGGCUGUGAAAAUAAAGACAUAUCUGCAGGCUCAUAAUCUGUGGAGUGUUGUUCUAGCUGACACAGAGCCACCAUCUUUAAGAGCUAAUCCAACCAUAGCUCAAAUUAGGCAGCACAAUGAGGACUGUGCCAAAAAGUGUAAGGCUAUGUCAUGCCUACAAAAUGGAGUUUCAGAUGUGAUCUUCACAAGGAUAAUGACUUGUGACAUUCUAAAACAGGUCUGAGACAAACUCAAGGAAGAGUUUCAAGGGUCAGACAAGACCAGACAGCAGCAGUUGAAAAACCUAAUGAGGGACUUCGAGAAUCUGAAAAUGAAAGAGUUUGAAACCAUCAAGUAGUAUGCUGACAGGAUUAUGGCUGCAGUCAACAACAUAAGGCUUCUUGGGGAUGAGUUCAGUGACAAAAGGAUAGCUGAAAAAGUCAUUACAACUCUUCCAAAGAAGUAUGAGUCAAAAAUCUCUUCUUUGGAGGAAUUUAGAGACCUAUUAGCUAUACCUUUGACAGAACUGAUAAAUGCUCUCUAUGCACAAGAGCAAAGAAGAGCAAACAGAAUAGAGGAGCAUUCUGAAGGAGCCUUUCAAGAUAGAAGAAGAGAAAGCUCAAACUCGAGCUCAAGCAACAAGGGCAAGAGGCCUUGGUCAGAAAAGAAAAAAAAAAGAAAAGAAGGAUGCUGCUAAAAGGAAGUUUCCACCAUGCACUCACUGCAAAAAGUCCACUCACUUAGAAAAGUACUACUAGUACAAGCCUAACAUUCAAUGUAGAAGCUGCAAGCAACUUGGCCACAUUGAAAAAGUUUGAAAGAAUAAAGUAAAAAUACAACCAUAGCAGCAGAAUCAAGCUCAAGCUGCUGAGGAUGUUCAAGCUCAAGAUGAGCAUGUUUUCACUGCCUCUUGUUUUGCAAGUUUGAGCAAAGUCAGGAAGAAUUGGCUGAUUGGCCGUGGCUACACUCAUCACAUGGCUUCAGAUAAAGGCAUGUUCAGGGAGCUAGACACCAGUUUUGUGUCCAAAUUCAAAAUUAGAAAUGGUGAGUUCAUUGAGACCAAAGGUAAAGGCAAGGUUGUGAUCUGCACUCAGUCAGGUAACAAAACCAUUUCAGAAGUUUUUUUUGUACUUGAUAUUGACCAGAAUCUACUUAGUGUUGGUCAAUUAUUAGAGAAGGGUUACUCCCUUAUUUUUGAAGACAAGACUUGUGUGAUUAAGGAUGCUUUUGAUCAAGUACUAGUGACAGUAGCUAUACAUGACAAAUCAUUUACCUUGGAUGUGAAUCAGUUAGAAGCAAAGGCACAUACAGCUUUGACUGAUGAAUCAUGUUUGUGGUACAAGAGGCUGGGGCAUGUGAACUAUAAGUCACUAAGUCUACUGCACAAGAUGAGCUUAGUUGAAGACAUGUCCAAGAUCGAGCCUAGGAAUGAUGUGUGUGAAGUCUGUCAGUUUGGCAAGCAGACUAGACUACCUUUUCCUGUUAACAAAGCUUGAAGAGCUCAAGAGAGGCUCCAACUGGUCCAUACAGAUAUUUGUGGACCUAUGGAAACCUCUUCUUUUAAUGGCAGUAGCUAUUUUGCAUUGUUCAUUGAUGAUUGCACCAGAUUUUGUUGGGUAAGCUUUCUGAAACAAAAUUCAUAUGUGGUUGACUUCUUUUGCAAGUUUAAGGAAUUGGCUAAGAAUCAAGUCAGUUGCAAGUUGAAGAUAUUGAGGUCUAAUAAUGGGACUGAAUAUGUGUCUCAAAGGUUCCAAAAGAUUUGUGAUGAAGCUGGAAUUCAGCACCAAUUAACCACCAUCUACACACCACAGCAGAAUGGUGUUUGUGAGAGAAUGAACAUGACUAUUCUCGAUAUGGCCAGGUGUCUAUUAUUUGAAUGCAAAAUGCCUAACAAUUUUUAGCCCGAGGCAGUAAAUACAUCUGUGUAUUUGCUAAAUAGGCUGCCAACUAAUGCAGUCAAAGGUAAAACUCUAUUUGAAGCUUGGUUUGGACAUAAGCCAAUUGUCUCACACUUGAAGGUGUUUGGUUGCAUAUGCUACACACUGGUGCCAGCUGAGAAGAGAACUAAGCUAGAAAAAAGGUCCAUACAUGGAGUCUUUGUUAGCUAUAGUAGCAUAAAAAAAGGUAUAGGGUCUUUGAUCCAUCUACUAAGAAGAUAGUUGUAAGUAGAGAUGUGAAAUUUAAUGAGGGCAGCUGUCGGGAAUGGGAUGGAACAGAUGCAAGCUUGUUUGAGCAAGACUGGCAUGUUCUUGAUUUGCAGCAUACAGAGACUGAAGCUGAAACUGAGGAUGAUUCUGAUGAUGUACCUGUCAGAGGUACAAAGACUAUUAUGGACAUCUACGAGAGGUGUGAUAUGACCAUUAUUGAGCCUUCCAACUUUGAUGAGGCUGCAAAGGAGGGCUAUUGGAAAGAAGCACUGAAGGCAAAAAUGAAGAUGAUUCACAAAAAUGACACAUGAGAGCUGGUUGACAUGCCAGCAAACAGAAAAGGUAUUGGUGUAAAAUGGGUGUUCAGGACCAAGAACAAUGCAGAUGGGUCAUUGAACAAGCACAAGGCAAUACUGGUUGUGAAAGGGUAUAGUCAACAGCAUGGCACCGAUUUCUCUAAAACAUUUGCACCAGUUGCAAGGAUAAACACCAUAAGGCUAUUGUUUGCCUUAGCUACUCAGAAGCAGUGGAAAGUGCACCAGUUGGAUGUUAAAUCAGAUUUUCUGAAUAGAUUUCUCAAGGAAGAGAUCUUUAUUGAGCAACCUGAUGGAUUCAAGGUUCUUGGUAAAUAGCAUAAGGUUUACAAGCUCAAGAAGGCCUUGUAUGGCCUAAAACAGGCUCCAAGGGCUUGGUAUGACAGGAUUGAUGCUUACUUGUCAAGGCUAGGGUUCGAGAAGAGCACUAAUGAGCCUCCACUCUAUGUAAGGAACGUUGAGAAAGAAACCUUGUUGAUUGUGUCUCUGUAUGUGAGUUGAUUAAAGAAUUCAAGAAGCAGAUGCAAGAUGUUUUCGAGAUGACUGAUCUAGGAUUGAUGACCUACUUCCUUGGUAUGGAAGUGAAACAAAAUGAACAUGGCGUCUUCAUAAGCCAACAGGCUUUUACUUCAAAAAUUUUAAACAAGUUUUGCAUGACAAAUAGUAAACAUGCUAGCACUCCUGUGGCACAAGGAGAAAAACUCUCCAGCAACAGUGACCAUGCUCGAGUUGAUGAGAAGAGCUAUAGAAGUUUAGUUGGUUGCCUACUCUAUUUGAUAGCAACAAGGCCAGACACCAUGUAUGUAGUCAGCCUUUUAUCGAGGUUCAUGUAUUGUUGUAAUGUUACUCAUUUCAAAGCUACUAAAAGGGUCCUAAGGUAUGUCAAAGGAACCUUAAGCUAUGGAGUGAAGUUUGUGACAGCUGAAGAACUGAAACUUGUAACACCCCUUACCCGUAUUCGAUGCUGGAAUAGGGUACGAGGCAUUACCAAAACAUACACUUGUAAACGUAUUAAAUCGAGUCAUAAAAUUUCAUUAAUUAUUAAAACUUUCAAAUUAUUAACAUGCUUUUAUAAUUCUUCACAAUAUAAAUAAUGCAACAUUUCAUGCCAACCACAAUCGAGCUUCCGAUAAUCAUUUCAAUACGUCUAAUAAUUGUACAUAUUACCAAUAAUAAUUCAAUUACGAUAAUAAAUCAAAUAUCUAUAUAAUAUUCAUUACCAAAUAGCAUUCACUUCAAUUAAAAUUAUACAAAAUAUAGUUCAUACGAACUUAACAGGCUAAAUUGCAGAAAUACCAAAAUUCAGGGACAUUUUUGAAAAAUUGCUAUUUUUCUCGAAUUUCCACCCAAUCUUGAUCUAAAUUAAUAUUUCAUUCAAUUUACUAAUUUAAAUAAUAAAACAAUUCACUUCAUGCAAUUUGGUCACUUUUUGACAUUUUUACAAAUUUACCCAUAAAGUUUCACAUUUGUUCAAUUUAGUCCGUGAACCUAAAACAUGUAAAUUGGUCAUUUUUAAUGAAAACUCAUGCUAGUUGAAUAAUCAUAUAUUUUCCUCCUCCUCCUCUCCUCUCCAUUCCACAUCCUUAAUGUAUAUAAAAUGCUUAUAGGUAACAUUAUCUAUAAUUUCACCAUUUACUUAUAUAUUCAUGGAAAGCUGUUCACUUGAGUCAUAGUCACUAAAUUAUUUAUAUCUUGAGAUACAUAACUCCAAAUUAAGAUCUGUUAAUUUUAUCUGAAACUAGACUCACAUAUCUUCUUACCAUAAAAUUUUCAGAAUUUUUGGUUGAGUCAAUAAAUACAGUUUAUUCUUUAAAGUCAUCCCUGUUCUGCUGUCUGAUAGUUCCGACCCUUCUUUACUAAAAAUUAAUUAUCUCCUCGUACAGAAUUCAAAUGAUGUUACAAUUUGUUUCUAUUAAAAAUAAAAUAAUUAAGGAUUUAAACAUAUAAAUUUAAACCUCUAAUUAUUUUUCUCCAAUUUUUGAUGAUUUUCCAAAGUCAGUACAGGGGAACCCGAAUUCAUUCUGACCUAGUAUCACAAAAUUCAUUAUAUAUCAUGAUUUACAAUUCCAUUACUUACACUGUUUCUUCUAUGAGAAACUAGACUCAAUAAGCUUUAAUUCCAUAUUUUUCUCAUCCUCUAAUUCAAUUUCCACGAUUUAUGGUGAUUUUUCAAAGUUAACCAACUGCUGCUGUCCAAAACUGUUUUAGUGCAAAAUGGUGAUUACUAAAUUUAUAACACCCUUAUUCCCUUUCUCUAUAGUAAUUCUCAUCACUUUCUCUUAUUUUUUCUUCACUAACAUAUCAAGAACAUAUAACCUUAUAUAAUAAAACCCUACAUUAACAUCAAUUUCAUACUUUUUCAAUAACAUCAAACUCAAAAGUAUAUUGAAAUCUUGAUGUUCUUACCUUGCUCUAUUGAUUUCAAUCUUUAGCUUGAUUUUCUCUCUCCUCCAGCCUCUAUUUCUUGAAUCUAACUUGAUAUUCUAGCUUCCCAUAGUCUCCUUAUCAAUUUUCUCUCUUGGUGGUUAUGGAAAUUUCUUUGAAUUCUAAGUGAAAAUGGUGGAUUUUUGGUAAAAAGGACCAAAUUGUAAAGAAAAGAAAACAUUCUUUCUUUCUUCUUCUUCUCACGUUGGCGCAUGGAAGAUGAUGGGUUGGUUGCCUUUUUUUCUUUCUUUUUUCCACAUAUAUAUAUACUAAAUUAAUUAAUAAUAAAAUAAUAAAAUAUCAUUUAAAAAAAUCAAAUUAAAAUAUUAAUAAACUAUUUAUUUAUUUAUUAAUAUAAAAUAUCUCCAACAUCAUCAUUAUCUUCUAGAUUUCUCUCUCUUCUAAUUGACCAUUUUGCCCUUUAUGAUCUUUUAAAAUUCCAUCCUUGAGUCAUCACUUAAUUUGGUAAAAUUGUGAUUUAGUCCCUCAAACUUCUUCACCUUUUUCAAUUUGGUCCUAAUCCAUCCAUUUUUCUUAGUUUCUAGAUCAUUCCACCCUUAAAAUAUUUACACUAUUGGUCCUUCAACUUUUUCAUAUUUACACUUUAACCCCUCAAAUUUUGAGUAUUUACUCUUGGGUAAUAAAACUUUUCUCACUUUUGCAAUUUAAUCCUUUCUUGAAUUAAUAUGUCAUAAUAUACUUUCCAAUGUUGACAUAACUCAAUUACUCUUUUUAUCACUUUAUUUCCUUAAUUUACCAUAUCAGGGAUAUUAUCUUACUUUUUUACUAUAGAAAUUUGGGCAUUACAAUUUCAUAGCUAGUUAACCUUUCUAGCUUCUAGAAUUCAAAUUCUACAUUUUAUACAAAUAGGUUAUUUCCUUAAUUAAUCACUAAUUCGGUAAAAUUUUCAUAUCAGUAUUUUCAUGCAACCUUCUUAUCAUAAUGUAACCCAUGUCAUAAUUUUAAAAUAAAUUUUCCUCGUCGGAUUUGUGGUCCCGAACCACUGUUCCAUCUAGACCCAAAAUCGGGCUAUUACAACGUUGGCUAUUCAAACAGUGACUGGGCUGGUUUAGUUGAUGACAUGAAGAGUACAUUGGGCUACUUUUUCACUCUAGGCUUAGAAGUUUUUAGUUGGAGUUCUAAGAAACAAUAGACAGUAGCUCAAUCCACUGCAGAGGCAGAGUAUAUUGCAACUGCUACUGCUGUUAAUCAAGCAAUUUGGCUUAGGAAGCUUUUGAAUGACUUGAAUGCUGAUCAAGUGGAAGCAACAGAGAUCAAAGUAGAUAAUCAGUCAGCUGUUGCCAUUGCCAAGAAUCCUGUAUUUCAUGGCAAGACCAAGCACUUCAAUAUCAAGUAUCAUUUUGUAAGGGAGGCAGAAUUGUCAAAGGAAGUUAACUUGAUUCACUGCUGCUCGGAGGUUUAGCUCGCAGACAUUUUGACCAAGCCAUUGGCUGCCACAAGGUUCGAGUAUCUGAGGAAGGAAAUUGGAGCCUGCUACUUUGUAGCCAAUGAGGAGUGUUGAAAGUUGGCAACAAUGCAGCAGCAUGCAUGCAACAUGCAAAUGUCCAUGGUGGAUUUCAGUCAUUGAACUUUUGUAACAUGUGACUUAUGUUUGAUUUGAUUGUAACUUUUUGUUUUGCUGAGGUUCAGCCAUGUACUUAGCAGAUUUAGUAGGUUCUAUGUUAUCAUUAAGCUGAUUUUACAGCUUGGUUAUUUGCACAAGCAAUGUUUAUUUUCUUCCAAUGUAAUAGAACUAUUUAUGUAUAUGUUAUGUUACUUAUUCAAGUAAUGAGAUAAGUCAUCUUCUUCUCUCAAUCCAACAUACGAUUUUUGCUUCUAUUUUUCAUCUUUUAAACACAAAUUCUUUGUUUUGAUUCUUGUUUAAUGAUUUAAAUGCAACAGAUAUUUUAUUUAGCAAAUUCAAGAACGAUUGAUGUUUUAAUUUGCAGGCAUUUGUGAAUUCAAGAAAAAGAUUUGAUGUUGUUAUACCUGGAAAUGAAAUCCCAUAAUGGUUCAGCCAACAGAGAGGCGGCUCUGUAAUUGAAAUACCUUUGCCUCUAAAUAUUCAGAAUGACAAUCAAUGGAUUGGAGUUGCUUUCUGCUGCAUUUUCGGUGAUGAUGAUGAUUCCAAGAGAAAGGUUAUCGGUGGUCCAACUUAUAUCCAUUCUAGAAAUUCUGGACAACCUAGUAGUAAUGGAUCUGUUUUUCAAGUUAAAAAUCCUCGAAAGGUCAAUUCCAAUUUCCUUAAUUUUGAUCAACGACCCAUAACGAAGGACCACCUCUUUAUUCGUUAUUUCUCGCGUGAAUUAUUAUUUCCAUUAUCCUUAAAGGAUAAAUGUGAAACCAAGAAUUUAUGGACAAUGGAUUGCUCUAAUCAUGAAUGCGAUUAGCUUGAGAUGUCUUUCCAAGACUCAAAAAGGUCUUCUUCUGUUAAGGUGAAGAACUGUGGUGUUAGAAUAAUGUAAGAGAAAGGUUUGGAAGAAAUAAAAGAGGUGCAGUGCCAUACCACUCAAUCUUCUCCAAACUUUGAACAUAUCCAUCAUCACUCUAUUGAAAACGAUAAAUCCGCAAGUAGCACUUCCCUUGUAAAACGAAAACGUGAUAUCCACGAGGAAACAGAGGAAGAUAGGCCGCAGCCUAAAGGAUGCAAAAAAUGUUCAAUUUUAUAACGGGCCGAUCAGGGAAGAAGCAAUAAUUGUGUAAACUACUUCACUAGCCAUUUCAUACAAAUAGGUUAUUUCUCCUAUUUAGUUAAGUUUCUGUGAUUGUUUGAUGGUAGAAAUAGAAAUAGAUUGUUAUUUAGUAUUCAUUAUAUCCGCAACUAGAAAUAUAUUGGUGUUCAUAAUACCAACAUGAAAUUGAUAUAGAGAGUACUAAAUCAAAGAAGGCAAAAUGCAUUUUGAAAUUAAAAGUUUAAAAUAAAAUCCUUGAUAUAAAUACGACAAUCCUUGAUAUAAAUACGACACAUUUAAUAAAUAAAAAAUGAUAAGAUAAAAAUAUCAUUUCAGCUUUCUUAGUUCAUUGAAUGGCACCCCAAAGAAUUUAACUUUUCAAACCUUCGAUUCAGAUGCAAAAAAUCAAGUCCCUGAAAAAGAAGCUUUUGAUUGAUGGUUGAAAUAUUUGAUACAGCGCCUGUUACAAAUGAGGAUUCUAACUCCAACAAGAACAUGGGGCCUUCGAGGGCUUAUGCAACACUCUAUACAAUUGUUGUAAAUUUACAACAACUUUGGCCUUUGAAGCUGCAAUACGCUCUAUCACCAAAUAUUUUGAAUUUGGAUCAUAAAUCCUUAAAAAAAAAAAAACAUUUGUAUGAUGAAUAAGACACAAGCGACUCUGUACUUGUUAAUGGAGGAAUGGUGACCAUAAGACACAAACUUCUUUCCCAACCUCCCAUUGACAGCGGCCAGAAUAUCUCCUAGCAAUCCAUUAUCCAGUCAGCGAGAAAGGUUUCAUCUACCGGCGCUCUAGCUUCGAUCGGCCUUCUACCACAAGCAACUUCGAUUGCCUUCCAAGUUCCUUCCAAGUCGAGCAUUGCUUGAGUGCAAAGGAAGGCAUCCCAUGAAUGGAUGACUUUGGUCGAGUAAAGCGUGAAUGCUUUUAGAAUAAAUGAAUCAGGGAAUCUAAUAGUAAUUAAAUUACAAUGCAUGAAUGUUUCAAAUUAAAACUCAUCACCUAUCUUUUUUUACUAGAUGUGACCAGUCACCCAUAAAAUUAAAUUUUAUAAAGAAAUUUUAAAAUGCCUUUAAGGACAAUUUUAAUAUCCGUGUUUAAAUCUAGAAAAAAAUUAGGUUGGAGAAUCAGUUAUGAGUAAAAAAAGGUUAUAAUGUACUCCUGCGACGCCCAAAAUUGAUAACUUAUUAAUUUCGUAUUGUCAAAAGGGAUCAUUGUUAAAUAUUAAAUUUUAUAUUUUUAAAUUUCAAUUUUAAGUAUUCACAUAUAAAAACAAAUCUUUGUUCGCCAUGUGUAAUCGGCCAUCUAUAAAAUCACAUUUUAUAAAUACCUUUUAAUUUUUAUAAAUCAAGUAACUCGUUAAUUUCAAAAUUCUACCAAAUAUUUCAAAUAUUUUUUUUGAAAUUUAGUAAAAUUUUAUGUCUCAAGAUUUUAACGGAAUCUCCACUACAAAUUCCAUUGAAUCCGUAGUUGGCGCUUUUUUUCUUUGUAUAAUACCAUAAUUAAUGUAUAGUGAAUGACGAAGAAAACAAGGAAGAAAAGAAGAAAGAUGCAGGAGAGAAGAAAGAAGAAGAUCAAGGCAAAAAAGAUGGAUGGAGACGAUGGCAAGAAGAUACUCCGAGUUUGCUUAUCCUCAAAUUUUUAGCGACGAAAACCCAAAUGCUUGCUCUCUCAUGUACGAUUCAUCUAUUUUUCCUGCUCUACCUGCUACUUCUCUAAUUACCCAUAUAUGCAAUUUUCCAGCUACUUGUUAUCUACUACUGUUGAAUUUACGUGAUCUUGAAUUGUUUGGCUUUCCUGAAUAUGUAUUUUCUUGAAAGUUAACCACAACUGCAGCAGAAAGCAUAGACUAAAUUUAAAUCCAUAUUUUGAAUCUAAGUUCAUGAGCACAACCUGAGUAAAUUAAAUUUACAUAAGAAGACUAGCGAAAAAAGAGCUUUAGUCCCUCCAUACUUAAAUUGAUUUUUAAGACAUGAUUGAUGAAUUAACGACAUUAUUAAUCCAGUAGUAAAUAAACGGCAUGAAGGGACAACGCAUGCAACGUACGUAAGUCAAUGGAAGUGAAAGAAAGAAUCAUAUUAGUGAAAGGCGUCGUGUCGCAACAUAAGUAUGCAUGCAUUGCAUGGUUUAUUUACGUCCUACAUAAACCCAAACAUUCUUCCAUCAAAUUCAUAUAAUUAAUUAAUAAACGACUGAAAACAACAAAUAACCGUGUAUUGUUGGCCGUUAAUAUCCCGAGCAAAGCAUAUUAUCAUCAGAUACGACUGAAUAGAAGAGAAUAAUAAUUCUGGAAAGCAAAUGAAAUCUCCAUGGAUCAUCGUUUGGAGGCAAGAGAGAGGUAGAUGAAAAGGAAGACCAAGACUAAAGCGAAGAUGAGGAAAAUGUAAGCGGGAGGAGGCUGCAACGGUGGCAUUCCGAGCGGAGCCAAAAACAGCAGAGCAACCACCAACAGCAUCAUGGCUAUCGAACUGAUACCGGACCCGUAAUCUUCCAUCUUCACUGAUAUGCCUUACCUCUUGCUAAUGUAACCAGAAAAUUUUAUUUCCUCGAAUAUGCAAAUGAUAAGAGACGUUGAUGAUCUAUAUAUAGAGUAGUGGCACUAUAUGGAUUGAUGCACCUUUGGCAAAGAGUUGUGAAGAUUGGUUCAGCGACAUAUCUAUGCAGCAACCGACUUCAUUUUUGCCCUCUAAAACUUAUAUUAGUUUUGAAUUAAAUUUUAGUGUUUUGAAAUUCGUUAUAAUGAGUUCAUUUAGGAGUUAUUUAUAGGUGGUUAUUUUUAUUAUUUCUUGAGUUUUUAGGCGUUAUGAGUGUAUAUGUAACCUCACUAGCUUUACGCUAGUUCUUAGUCAAAAACUUUGAUCUGGUGAUGAUUCUGUUGCUUGUAUGUUUGGGUCAGAGGCAUAUAAGAGGGGAUCUAUAAGAUUUUUCCAAUUUCAAGCUUAUUAAUUCGUCGGCCGGUAAGAAUAGUGUUCUAACAAGGGGAUUCAGUGUAUUUCACUGACUUUGCGAAAAAUAAAAAACAAGAGGAUUCAGCUUAAAAUAAAAGUUAUAGGAUAACCUGAUAAUAGUGCCCACUCUAUCGCACAUUCAGCAUGUUGCUGCUAAUGAUUUUCUUCAGUGAUACGUUGGAUGCUGUGUUGUAUAGUACUACUAGAGUAGAGGUAGGCUGCAUGCUUAUGUAAUUGGGCUGAUUGAGGAAUUAAUUGGAUUGAAUUCUUACUUUCUUAGACACUUAAAUGGAAGAUUAAUCACGGGAUAUCCAUGCACCAAGAAUAUGUUUUUUACUUAUCUCUCGUUCGAAGGUUUACCUUCAUAUUUUAGACCUGCAAUAUAUUUAUGCCUGAAUUUAUAAAUAGAUAGUUAAAGAGAUUCUGUAAUCUUCCUUGUACUAUAUUUACUCUUUCAUUUCCCCCACAUUAGGUGGCAAUGUCUAUGCCAAUGGCUGAAACAGCUUAUUUAUUAACUUCAUUUUUAAUAUUCUUCUCUACACUACACAUAGCAAGAAGAAAAUUGCCAUCAGUGAUUAAUUUUAACAGUAGGGUCCACUGGGUUGUUGGGGGGGGGGGGGGGGGGGGGUUGUUCUUUUUCAUGACAUAACGUUGGUUUUUUCUCUUACAUCUUUUAUUGCAUAUUGUUGUCAUCGUGUCAAUGUAGAGGUAUGAGUUUGCAUGAUGAAGGGGUGGUGGAAUUGUGGGAUUUAUCCAGCAAUUUUGUGUUUACCGAGAGUGAUGUUGGUAAAAACAGGGCCCUUGCCUCUGUUUAGAAGUUGCAGGAGUUUAACAAUGCUGUGAUCAAUUUCCACCUUAACAACAGCAUUAACCAGGGAACAGCUGUCUACAAUUGCUUACCUUGUUCCUUUUUAAUGAAUUCAGAAGUUCCAUACUUUUUGUAACAAUCCUUGAGAAAUCAUGCUGAAAUUCGAUUAUCAUCACCUCAAAUUCCACUAUUUGUAUCCGAAGAAAACUAAGUUAAACUUCUUUCAAAGCUGGGGAAAGAUGUGAUAUGGUGGAGAUUUUCUGUAUUUACCGUUUGACUCACAAAUAGCUCGAAACAUGUUGAAUCAACAGUUGAAUUGAUUUUUAUUAUUAUCUAAUAUUUUAGUAUUUAUAAUUUUUAAUAAUUUAAUUAAUUAAAUAGAAUGAACCAAUAAAAAACCAAUGAAUUAAUUAAUUUAGUCACCAAUCUAAUUCUAAAAACCUUAAAUAUGAGAUUAAUGUCACAAUGUUUAUAUCCCAUUUAAUUUGCUAUAAGGCCGGUGUGCUAUCAAGAAGUCCCAAAGCGAGGCUUGGGAAUGCCCAAGUACUCCAAGUUUCCAACAAUUAAAAGCACAAAGAAAAGAAUGAUGAAAAGAAAUUAAGAUAAAAUAAAAUAAUGUGAAAGGUAAAAAUGAAAACUGAAAUGGAGAUGGUAUGGGCCCAAAUCACAACAUAUUCAUUUCACUUCAUAACCCCAAUACAUGAUCUCUCUUAAUUUGUGAAGAACUGUAUGGGAAAUAUAGAAAAUUAUUAUUCAAUAGAACCCUAGAAUAAAUUUAAAAUAGUACAAAAUUAAAAAUGUUAAAUUAUUAUGUGUUUCUUCAAUGUUUCUUGAAACUAAAUUAGUGAUAUCUUCAAGUCAAGUUUCAUGUCCUUAAAGAAUAUCUAGAACUGAUAUUACAGAGGCUUAAGAAAUAGAUUCUAAUGCCAUUUUUUAGAAAAAAAAAUACAAAUUAUACCAUAAAAUUUUCAUUUUUGAUUCAAAAUUUUAAUUUUUUUUAUAAAUUCAAAUAGUAAAAAUAAAUUAUAUUUUGAAUUUUCUUUUCUUAUAACGAAAGAACCAUGUCAAGAAACAAAAGAGGCAAAAAAAAACAUAGAACCAAUAAUUUGAGAGAAAUUUUGGAAGGUUUAUAAACAGUUUUCCUCAUUUUCUCAUUUAUUUAUUUUUGAAAUUUUUAUUUACUUUUAUUUUAAUAUAAAUUUUUGGAGUUCUCUAAAUUUUUUAAAACGAAUUUCAAUUUUUAUUAUUUUAUAUAAAAUCAGGGCCAAAUUGACGAAAAAGUAUAAAAAUUGAGAAUUAAAUUUAUUAUUAUACUAACUAAAAAAGUGUCAUUUAAUAGUCAGGUGACAAAAAAAAUAAUUUUGAAAUGUUUAAUGACCAAAUUAAAACUUUUUUAAUUAAGUGACCAAAACAAAAACUUACCUAUAGUUUAAUAAAUAAUGGUAUAGGGACUAAAAUUUAAAUUUAUAAAAAAGUACAGGGACUUGUGGCAAAUUUUAACAAAAAACUCUUAAAAAUCUAUAAUUAUUAAUUGUAAUUAAAGUAGACACCAAUUGUCAACUCUCACCUUCUUGAAGUCUUCCAGGAAAGAAAAUCUAACUCAUCUAUGGCCCACGAAUUUAUUGGAAAAGUAAAAGGUGGGAAACGUAUACAGAAUUUUUUUAGAAAAGUCGUUUGUUGCUCCCUGUAAAUUUCAUCUGUUUUUCUCCUUUCACAUAUAUUUAUCUUCUCAUACAUCGUCAUGUCAUCGUUACUUUCGACUUCCUCAUCCACUCCCAGAAAGAAAUACGAUGUUUUCUUGAGUUUUAGAGGUGAAGAUACCCGCAAGAACUUCGCGGAUCAUCUCUACGAUGCUCUAAAGAGGAGUGGUAUCAUCACUUUUAGGGAUGAUCCAAAGCUGGAGGCCGGCGAAGAGAUCGCACCGGAACUCUUCAAAGCGAUCCAGCAGUCGUGGUGCUCGGUAAUCAUUUUUUCGGAAUCAUAUGCCUUUUCAGGAUGGUGCUUGGAGGAACUUGCUGAGAUUGUUCAACAAAAAAUUGUUAACGGACAUAAAGUAUUUCCAAUUUUCUACGAUGUGGAUCCAUCCGAUUUAAGAAAACAAAAAGAAAAAGUUGAAGAAGCCUUCGCCAAACACGAAGAAAGAUACAAGGAAGAUAAAGACAAGAUCCAAAAGUGGCGAAAUGCUUUGACUCAAGUAGCUAACAUCAAAGGAUGGCAUUUACAUAAUAGGUAUUUCUUCCUUUUCUUCUCCAUUUCCUAAUUUUAAUGACUAAAAAAUUGUUUUUUUCUUGGAUUGCAUGUUAUUUUUUGCAACUUUGUGUUUAAUUGAGAAUUCUCAUAUUUCAAGUAAUGAGCAAGUUGUGUAUUUUGAUGCUAUAACAGAUCUUGCUGUCUUAUUCUAGCUUUUGGUUUGCUUCCAAUUAUAUUAUAUUUCAUUAUUCACUGAAUUAAAAAUGAAAAAGUGCAUUUGAAAGAUAGCAGCGAUUUUUUAUUUCAUUGUAGGCACGAAUCAGCGUUUAUCGGAGACAUUGUUAAGAAGAUAUCAGCAAAAUUAUGUCAGACAUAUCCAAUUGUCCAUGACGAGUUGGUUGGAAUUAGCUUACAUUUGGGGGAGUUGUAUUCGAAAAUAAACAUUGGGGAAGACGAUGUCUGCAUUAUUGGAAUUUGCGGAAUGGGUGGCAUCGGUAAAACAACUCUUGCAAGGGUUGUUUACACUAAAAUGUCGCCUUAUUUUGAAGGUAAAAGCUUUCUUACUGAUAUUCGAGAAGUUUCAAAUAAAUGUGGACUUGUCUCUUUACAGAAACAACUUCUUUCUCAAAUCUUGCCAGAUGAAUGCUUCAACUUUUUCAAUGUUUAUGAAGGGAAUGCCAUAAUUAGCCAUAGGUUGUUUAGCAAAAAGGUUCUUGUUGUUCUUGAUGAUGUUGAUAAUAUACAACACUUGAAAUGCUUAGUUGGAAGGCAAGAUUGGUUCAGUUUAGGGAGUAGGAUCAUCGUAACAACCAGAGAUGAACAUUUGCUCAGAUCUUAUCGAAUCGAUGAUGUGUAUAAACCUACAACAUUGAAUCCCAACGAUGCACUUAGGCUUUUCAAUUUGAAAGCUUUUGACAGUGACACAAUGCUGAAAGAUGAUUUCAGUGAGCUUUCUGAACAUGUUGUAAAUUACACUGGUGGUCUCCCCUUAGCUCUUGAAGUCUUGGGUUUUUUUUUGUGUGGUAGAAAUUUAGCUCAGUGGAGAAGUGCAAUCGAAAGACUUAAACGAGAUUCCAACAAAGAAAUUCUUGACACACUAAGAAUCAGCUUUGAUGGAUUGGAAGAAAGGGAGAAGAAUAUAUUUUUAGAUAUAGCAUGCUUUUUCAAUGGGGAGAAGAAAGAUUUGGUAAUGAAAGUAUUGGAUGGUUGUGAGUUUUUCUCAGAUAUUGAAAUUGAUGUUCUCAUUAAGAAAUCUCUCAUAAAAGUCGAUGAUAACAACCAAUAUUUGUGGAUGCAUGCCUUGUUGCAAGAAAUGGGAAGAAAAAUUGUCGAAGAAAAAUGUGUUGAUGAACCUGGAAAACGUUGUAGAUUGUGGAACGAAAGAGAUGUCCAUCAUGUCCUAACAAAAAACACGGUAAAUCAUUCAACAAAAAUUACAUACAAUUUUUUUUAUCGAUAUAUGAUGUAAAUCCAAAGCUUAGUCUAAUUGAUUUACAUAUCGAUCCUUAAGUGACAUUGAGUAGCUUUAAGAUAAUUUUCAUUUGUUGAUCAUAAAUAUUAAUAAGAAUUUGUAAUAUAUGCAUUUAAUUUUAUUGAAUUACUCUCAUUAGAAAAUGUUUUACUUUGUUCAAAAUAUUUUAUUUGCCAUAUUUCCACCAAAAGAUUGUGUAUGUAAAUUUUCAAAAGUUUUAUCAGUCUUCUUAUUGUCUAUUCUUGAUUACUUAUAGGCUACCGAAGUGAUUGAAGGCAUGAUUAUCGACAAUAAAAGGUAAGAAAACUUAUAAAUUUAUCAAUAUGUACUAUUAAUAUUAAUUCUAGUUUUUUUAGGCUUAGGUAAUUAAAAGUCGAAUGCAAGUGUUAGAUAGAGUAUUGUCUAUCAUGGGUAGCUCAAACAUAUCUCAACACCAUAUUCGGAUAUGCAUUAGAUAUAAUUAUUGGGUAUGGGUGCUUUAAAAAACAAUAUCGGUGCAACAUAGCUUGUAGGUAUUGAAUAUUUUUGUAUCUUCUGAAAUUUUUCUUUUUUUUUUUUUUUGCUCGUGGUUAUUAGGGAAUCGAGUAAGAUGCUCAACUUGAGUGUCAUGCCUUCUCAAAGAUGAAAAAAUUGAGAUUGCCCAAAGUGCUUUGUCUCUCAAAUUGUGAUGAUCUCAAAUAUCUUUCUAAUGAGCUACGGCUUUUAGAUUGGAAAAGAUGCCCUUUAAGAUCAUUGCCUUCAAGCUUUCAACCGGACAACCUUGUUGCACUUCUCUUACCAUGCAGUUGCAUUGAACAACUAUGGAAGGGAAAUAGAGUAAGAGUUAACUCAUCUGAUCCUUGUGUUUUAGCUUAUUUUAAUAUAAAUAAUUAAACUUUGAUUAAGAUAAAAAAAAAAGAGCAUUAUUAUAAUUUGUUAUUGUUUUCAACAGCCCUUGUAUACGUUGAAAAUGAUGAACCUCAAAGGGUCCCAAAACCUGAUCAAGACACCAGACUUCACAACAGCAUCAAAUCUUGAAGUUUUGAUUUUGGAAGGUUGUACCAAAUUAGUGGAUGUUCAUCCAUCCAUCGGAGUGCUUAAGCGCCUUAAACUUUUGGAUUUAAGAGAUUGCAAAAGUCUUAGGAGUCUUCCGACCAAAAUUGGAAUGCAAUCCCUUGAAACAUUAAUUCUUUCGGGUUGCUCAAGUCUUGUUAGGUUUCCGGAGAUUGAUGGGAUAAUGGGAUGUCUAAAAACUCUAGAUCUUUCCGGUUGUUAUAGAGUUGAAAAUUUAUCAGAGAAUUUGCAGCAAGCAAAGUUUUUGGAAGAGCUCGACUUGAGUGAAACAGCCAUAACAGAACCACCAUCCUUCAUUUGUCAAUUUAAAAAUCUUAAAGUUUUGUCUUUCAAUGGGAGAAAGGGACCAUCAUCUAAGUUACUACCAAACCUGCCUUCUCUUUUCAAGGUAAUCCAAAGAGGAAGGACGCAUUUCAUGGCUCCAAUGUUGCCUUUGUUUUCAGGUUUGAGUUCAUUAAGAGAGUUGAAUCUAAGGGACCGCAGUCUUUGUGAAGGAGAUAUUCCUAGUGAUAUUUCUGGUCUAUCCUCUUUGAGACGUCUUAAUCUUAAGGGUAACAAUUUCAUCAGCAUACCUGCAUCUAUUAUUCGACUUUCGAAGCUUUAUUCUAUUAGAUUGUCAGAUUGCAAGAUGCUCAAAUCGUUGCCUGAGCUACCAACAAGUAUAGAAGAUGUGUGGAUAGAUGGUUGUUCUUCACUUGAAGUAGUUGCAAGUCCAUCAAAAGUAUGCAAUUUAGUGGAUUCUGCUUUCAUUAGUGCCAUUAACUGCGUCAAAUUGGCUGAGAAUAUCAAUGCAUUAACACUGCUGAAAAAACUUCUUAAGGUCGAUUAUCUCUUUUUUCUUCCUUACAAAAUCUCAUACUUGAGAAUUUAUGGUUUUAGUUACCAAACGACUAGUGUUUUUUUUUGCAGGCAUUUGCAAAUUCAAGAAAAAUCUUUGAUAUUAUUAUGCCCGGAAGUGAAAUCCCAGAAUGGUUUAGCCAACAAACAAGUGACUCUUCAAUUAAAAUAUCGCUGCCUAUCAACCUUCAGAAAGAUAGUCAAUGGAUUGGAGUUGCUUGCUGCUGCAUUUUUGUAAAUAAUGAUGCUUCAAGGGAUGAGGAAUAUAUCGGUUGUGGAGCAUAUAUCUAUUGUAGAAAUUCUGAACAAGCCAGCUGUAAUGGAUCUAUUUUUAGAGGUAGAAAUCCUCGACGGAUUGAUUGGAGAAGCUGGUUGUUGGGUAAACGAUUUAACCAGCCCAUAAUAAAAGAUCACAUUUUUCUUCGUUAUUGGUCGCGUGAUAAAUUAUAUCCAUUUUCCUUGGAGGAUAAAUUUGGUGACUGUGAAACCAAUAAGUUACGGGCAACAGAUUGCUUAGAUAAAAUAUGCGAUGAGCUUGAGGUGUCUUUCGUAGAUCGAUUUGGACGCCGUGCUAAGGUGAAGAAGUGUGGUGUUAGAAUAGUGUAUGAGAAAGAUUUGGAAGAAUUAAAAGAGUUGCAGUGCCAUAGCGCUCAAUCUUCUCCAAAUUUUGAACACAUCCACCAACACUCUGCUCACGACGAUGGAUCAGUAGGUAGCACUUCUCACAUAAAACGAAAACGUAAUGUCUACGAGGAAGCGGAGGAAGAAGGGGGGCAACCAAAACGGAUGCAAAAAGUUUUCAAUUUUAUAAUGGACCAGUCGUGGAAGAAGCAUUAACUAUAGUAAACUAUUUAACCACCUUUGUCCUAUUAAUUCCUUUUUUUUUACACAUUUACGUUGUUUACAUAAAAUAAUUAUUUUAGAUAUCUUUACUCAUAAUAUGUCUUUGAAAUAUCAUCCUUCAAAUAUAUAUAUAUUUGUAAGGUUAAUAGUUUUGCUUAAGUAAACGACUGAAUAAAAGAGAAUAAUAAUACUGGAAAGCAAAUGAAAUCGCCAUGGAUCAUCAUUUGGAGGCAUGAGAGAGGUAGAUGAAAAGGAUGAGCAAGACGAAAGCGAAGAUUAGGAAAAUGUAAGCGGGAGGAGGCUGCAACGGUGGCAUUCCAAGCGUACCCAAUAACAGCAGAGCAACCACCAACAGCAUCAUGGCUAUCGAACUGAUACCGCACCCGUAAUCUUCCAUCUUCACUGAUAAGCCUUACCUCUUGCUAAUGUAACCAGAAAAAUUAACUUCCUCGAAUAUGAAAAUGAUAAGAGACGCUGAUGAGCUAUAUAUAGAGUAGUGGCACUGUAUGGAUUGAUGCACCUUUGGCAAAGAGUUGCCACGAUUGGUUCAGCGACAUAUCUAUGCAGCAACCGACGUGAUUUUUGCCCACUACAACAUAUAUUAGUUUUAAGGGCAUUUUAUUUUUAAAUUUUUCAAAAAAUGCUGGGCUUUAAUAAUUUACUCUUUCAUUUCCCCCACAUUAGGUGGCAAUGUUUAUUCUUCAUUUUUAUUAACCGCUCUACACUACAUAUAGCAAAAGAAGCAAAUUGCCAUUAGUGAUCAAUUUUUAUUCUUCAUUGUGCAGCAAAGAAUCUCAUUCUUGCUGGUCUCAAACCAAUGAGUUUGCAUGAUGAAGGGGUGGUGGAAUUGUGGGAUUUAUCCAGCAAUUUUGUGUUUUCCGAGAGUGAUGUUGGUACAGACAGGGCCCUUACCUCUGUUUAGAAGUUGCAAGAGCUUAACAAUGCUGUGAUCAUUUCCACCUUAACAACAGAAUUAACCAAGGAACAACUGUCUAUAAUUGCUUACCUUGUUCUUUUUUAAGGAAUUCAGAAGCUGCAUAUUUUUUUGUAAUAAUCCUUGAGAAAUCAUGCUGAAAUUCGAUUAUCAUCACCUCAAAUUCCACUAUUUAUAGUUGAAGAAAACUAAGUUCAACUUCUUUUAAGCUGGGGAAAGAUAUGAUAUGAUUGAGCUAAAAUAUUGCAUGAGUGUUUUUAGGAUCUGCACAUUCUAUUCUCUUCCAUCACAUAACCUUAUCUUCAUCUUUCGUUGUAUUUACUGAUAUCAGUUUUGAGAAAAGCCAUUGAGAUUAAUGAUUAUAUGCCUCCUAUCUCUUUCAUCAAGGCCAUGCAAAGGAGGUUUCCACAAUUUAUGUGCUUGGUUAAAAGUGAAUAUGUUCUUGUUCAUAUCUUCUUUCACUCUACAAUUUUGGUUUCUGCUUCUUAUUAACAAGCUAGAAGGGGAUUUAAAUUUGUCAGUGUGUUUCAUGUUCAUCCUUGGUGUGUAAUGUAUGGGUGUUGAUUGCUUAUUCAGUUUUCAUUCUCUAAUUUGUAAUUUGUUUGCUUCACGUUGAUUCUUUUUUCUAUGCAGGUUUGAAAUGCAUCAACAAAUAAGUAAGGAUUCAAGCUUUUUCGCAUAGUUUGGAUGUAUUUCAGAAUGCUUAAAACUCAAACUUUAUGUGCCUUUAUUUUGUUGUAAUCGACUUUGUAAGUUCCAUCACAUUCUUUUGUAUACGAUCUUUUGUGGGACUUAGAGAUAUACGGUAUUUUUUUAUGAUUUUGACUAUUGUCGGCAAAUGUUCACACUUUACCGACACCUAUGGUCAGCUCGUCCGAAAAUUUUUCUGGCAUCCGCCUACGACGGUCAACCAGUGGUUCGUGGUUGCCAGGAAAAUCAAUACCAGUCUUUUACCGGUGCUUAUAAAUGCCGGUAAAAAAGAGAUCUUUUGUUCCCCAUCUCUCCCAACAGCUAGCCAAUUUUGAUCGCCUUUUCUGAAAGAUGUACUAUUUGGGAGAUAGAAAAAUAUUUAUUAUUUCUUAUAGAUGAGCAAUAUCUUAUUAUUUUAAUUAUUUCUUACUUUAACAUAAGAAUAUUUUUAUUUAUUUCUAUUAAAAUUAAAUAAAACUUUGAUGAAGUUUUGAAUCACACUUUAUAUUCAUUUUAAUUCUACUUCAUUGUGAUUUAAACUACUAUUUUUAAUAUUAUAUUGCAACUAAAUAUAAAUAUAUUGAUUUACAUUAUAUAUUCUUCUUUAAUUACAUUUUCAUUAUAAUAUAAACUAUUCAAGUUUAUAAUAAACUUUUUUUAUUAUUUUAAAUAAUUAUUACUUAACGUAAAGUCUCCUUUGAUAAACUAAAAAAAUUAAGUGCAGAAAAAUUAAGUUAUAAUAUAUAUUUGAUAUAUUAUUUAAAAUUAAUAAUUGAGUAUAAUUAUAUUAUUUGAUAAAUUUAAAUAUUUAAUUAUGAAAAAAAUGUUUUACAAUUUUAUCCUUAAUUUUUAGACAUUACACAUUAUUUUAAACAAAGUCAUAUUUUAAUAAUGUUACUAUAAAGAUGAAAUAUUUAUAGUAAAUUAUACUAUUAUUUAUAAAAUAUUAUAAACAUUAUGAAAAAUAAAUAUUGUAUAGAGAUUACGUUGAAUAAAAUAACAAAGUGAAGAAAAAAUUGGGACUUUAAUAUAGUCUAAAAAGAAAUGAAAUAAAAUAAAAAGAAUUGAACAUAUUCUUUAUUAAAUAUUAAAUAGAUUCCUAUUCACUUAUUAUUUUUUACGUGAAAAAAAUUCUACAAAGUAAUUUUUAUUAACAGUUAUCAAAUAUAUUUUAAAAAAAUAAAAUUAUGGAAAAUAUUUUCGUCUAUCAAAUAGGGCUAAAUAAAUAUUUUGAGUAGAUAAAAUUCGAUAAAUAUUAAAUUGCACUUUUAGUGUUUUGGGUUAUUACAAACGAUGUUAACCUUUUAGUGUUUAGUUCGGGUCUGGGAAUUGAUUUGAUGAAAGUUAAUUGCUAAUAUUAUUAACUUUGAAUUUUUCAUGAUUUUGUUAUUAGAAUAAAUUUCGUGUUAAUUAUGGAUUUGUUUAAUUUUGCAUUUAAUUUGUCAAAUACAGUCCAAUGGAUGUGAUUUAAUUCGGGUUUUAGAGUUGGUUUGAUGAAAAUACAUAAUUAGUAAUUAAUUUUCAUCAAACCAGCCCUAAAACUCGAAUUAAAUACUUAACAUCAUUAGUUUUGGGUGUCAAAAUAUAUAACUUUUGUCAAAUACCGAUACUUGAUUGGAUCAAAAAAUAACAUAAGUAUCACAUUAGAAAAAAGUGUCAAUCUCAAGUACUAAAUUAUGUGUUAAGUCUAAUAAAAUAUUUUAAUUAUUUUACAUUACAUAAAAUAAUAAACGUUUUUAAAUAAAUAAUCAUAUAUCUUUAAAUAAUAAUUAAAUACACUAAUUAAUAAAAUAAAUAUAUAAUUAAUGAAAUAAAAAUAAUUAGAUGUAUGUUACAUAAGAAACUAGUUAAGCAUGUAAAACACAAUUAGUUAAUGCUUUAUAAUUAUGAAGUAAAUAUGAUAAUGUAAAACACAAACGGUCCAACACUUCUAAUUAUUGUAGGCUCAAUUUUGUGGACUCUUUCUUGGAUUCUUCUUGGAGACAACACCUAUCACUCAUCCAUCAUCCCCCAAUUUCCACACCUAUGCGCUUUCAUUUGGAAGAAAAAAUGGAAAUGUAUAGAGAAAUUGCUGACAAAAAUCUUCGCUGUUCCCUUGGAAUUUGAUCUGUUUUUCUCCUUCAUGUAGGAUUGUAGAUUAGGUGAUACUUAUAUCAUUAAAAGAGACAAGUUUAGUCUUGAUUAAUGUCUCAACAUUGAUUUUAAGAUUUAAGAAAAUGAAAAAAAAAACUCUUAAUUAAUUGUUCCCGACUCCCUUUCAUAGGUAUUAUAAUGAAGAUAGAUUCAUUUGGAAAAGUAAACGGUGGGAAACGUAUACACAAAUUUCCUAGACAAGUCCUUUGUUGUUUCCUGUAAAUUUCAUCUGUUUUUCUCCUUCCUCAUGUUCAUAUACUUAUUGUUCCUACUUUGUUUCUGAGGUAUUGAGCCAUCUAUUUUCUGAUUUUGAACACUAUAUCCAUAUAUAUUUUUCUUCUCAUAAAUCGUCAUGUCAUCGUCACUUUCGACUUCCUCAUCCAUGUCUAGAAAGAAAUAUUAUGUUUUUAUGUUACUAAAUUUAAAAUUAUCAUUAUAAUUAUCACUUAAUUAUUAUUAAAGUUUAUUGUGCUCAGUUUUUUUAUAUAUAUUUAAGGAAGAAAAAUAGGAUUGUUUAGGAUUGAACCCAAACUCUCGUACUUACAAAACCAAGCUUUUUCUCCCCUCAUGCUCAUAUACUUAUUGCUUCGGAGGAAGUGAGCGACUGAUUUUGAACACUACAUCCACAUAUUUUUCUUCUCAUACAUCCUCAUGUCGUCGUUACUUUCGACUUCCUCAUCCAUUUCUAGAAAGAAAUACAAUGUGUUCUUGAGUUUUAGAGGUGAAGAUACUCGUAAAAAUUUUACGGAUCAUCUCUACGAUGCUCUAAAUAGAACUGGGAUCGUCACUUUUAGAGAUGAUCCAAAGUUGGAAACUGGUGAAGAGAUCGCACCGGAACUCUUCAACGCAAUUCAGCAAUCACGGUGCUCGGUAAUCGUUUUUUCCGAGACCUAUGCCUUUUCAGGUUGGUGCUUGGAGGAGCUUGCGGAGAUUGUUAAACAAAAAAAUGACAAGGGUCAUAAAGUAUUUCCAAUUUUCUACCAUGUUGAUCCAUCCGAUUUAAGAAAACAAAAAGAAAAAGUUGAAGAAGCCUUUGCCAAACACGAAGAAAGAUACAAGGAAGAUAAAGACAAGAUCCAAGAGUGGCGAAAUGCUUUGACUGAACUGGCUAACAUCGAGGGAUGGCAUUUAAAUAAUAGGUAUUUCUUUCUUAUCUUCUCUAUUUCCUAAUUUUAAUGACUAAAAAAUUGUUUUUUUUUAUUGGAUUGCAUGUUAUUUUUAUAAUUUUGUGUUUAAUUGAGAAUUCCCAUAUUUCAACUAAGGAGCAAGUUGUGUAUUUUGAUGCUAUAAUAUAUUGUUAAGAAAUGGCUUAAAAUUGGUAGUGGAUUGUUGUUGUUGGUAGUGGGUUGUUGGUGGUAGUGGAUUAGUGGAUGGUUGUUGGUGUCCAUUUUCAACCACAAAUCUUUGCCAAAGUUUUGGACAAUUAUGUCCUUGAACUCUCUUAUAAAUAAAGAGGUUCAUUAGCCAUAUUAAUCAUCCCAAACCAAGAGAGAGCAAAGCUUGUUCUUUGAAAGCUAGGAUUUUAGCUUUCGGAUUUUCUAUAGGGGUUGAGAGUUGUGAGGUUCUCGGGUUGUGUCUUGAGUGUAAAACACUUGUAAUCUUCAUCUUGUUAUAGUGAAAUUUCUUUUCGCCUCUGCCCGUGGACGUAGGCAUUAAAGCCGAACCACGUAAAUCCUUGUGUUCACUUUAUUUUUCGUUUCGGUCAAUUUACUUGUAGUCAUAUCGGAGUUCUCGAAUCGAUCCUUUCCGCAACAAAUUGGUAUCAGAGCGUAGUUGAAGGAGUGAUAAUAUUUUCUGAAUUGCCCUGUGACUGCAGCUUUGUCUGAUCUUUCACAUCAGGAAGAAAAUAUUAUCAUUCAUUCAAAGGUUCCAAAUUAUGGCUACAAGUGUUUCAUCGACUAAGUAUGAUGUCGAGAAAUUUACCGGGAAAAAUAGUUUCAGUUUAUGGCGCAUCAAGAUGCGGGCAGUGCUGGUUCAACAAGGAUUGCUAAAAGCAUUGUCUGGUAAAGAUAAAUUACCAAGCACGCUUUCGGAAGAGCAAAAGGAUGACAUGCUAGAAAGAGCACAUAGUGCUAUUCUGCUAUGUCUAGGAGAUGAAGUGCUACGAGAAGUAGCGGAUGAGAAAACCGCGUCCGGUUUGUGGCUCCGGUUAGAGAGCAAGUACAUGACGAAGUCAUUGACGAACCGGCUCUACCUCAAGCAAAGACUCUAUGCCCUGAAGAUGGAGGAAGGUACACCUGUUUCCCAGCACCUGGAUAAAUUCAAUUCCAUUAUCAUGGAUUUGAAUAAUAUCGAUAACAAAAUCGAUGAUGAGGACCAAGCAAUAAUUGUUUUGUGUUCUUUGCCUCCCUCGUAUGAGAAUUUUGUUGAUACAAUGAUGUACGGUCGUGAUGACCUGACUCUAGAGGAGGUGAAAAAUGCCUUAAGUUCCAGUGAGUUGAGGAAGAAAAUCACUGGUAAGGUGGUCGAAAACAAUGAAGGCGAAGGCUUGGUUGCUCGAGGAAGAUCCAAGGCAAAGGGUGGAAGUUCAAGUAAAAGCCAUCCUAGAUCGCAGUCCAAGAAGAGAAUACAGUGCUACUACUGUAAGAAGUACGGGCACAUGAAGGUAGAUUGUCCGAAAAGGAAGGAGAAAUCAGAAUCACAGGAGCAACAAAAUGAUCGUGCGAAUGUAGCUGAUGCAGAUUCUUCAAGUGAUGCCGAGAUCGUUCUUGCAGUAUCCGACUCUUACGCUGGUGGGAGAUGGAUUCUUGAUACGGGAGCUACAUUUCAUAUAAGUACUUCGAAAGAUGCAUUCUCAACAUACGAGAAGCAUUCUGGUUCAGUACUAAUGGGAAAUGACCACGCAUGUCAAGUCAUGGGGAUUGGCACAGUUCGUAUAAAGAUGUUUGACGGUAUUGUUAGAACUCUAACUGAUGUUCGGCACAUUCCAGAAAUGAAGAAAAAUUUGAUCUCUUUGAGUACGUUGGACAAGAAAGGCUUUCGGUACUCUGCUGAAGGUGGAGUUCUCAAGGUAUUCUCGGGUGCUUUGACUGUGAUACGUGGUAAUUUGGAGCGGGGCCUUUACUUCCUCGAUGGUUCCUCGGUUACAGGUGUUGCGGGAGUGUCAUCAUCAGAUGAUCUAGAUUCUGACACCACGAAGUUAUGGCAUAUGCGGCUCGGGCAUAUGAGCGAGAGAGGCUUAUCGGUGCUAAGCAAACGAGGAUUAUUGUCUGGGCAGUGUACAGGAAAGUUGAAUUUCUGUGAGCACUGCGUCUUCGGUAAGCAGACUCGGGUAAAGUUCAGCACUGGGAUUCACAAGACAAAAGGCACAGUGGAUUACUUCCAUUCUGACCUUUGGGGGCCUUCUCCGACAAUUUCUAAAGGUGGUUACAGAUAUCUGCUUACCUUUAUCGAUGAUUACUCAAGAAAGGUUUGGGUGUAUUUUCUGAAGAGCAAGUAUGAGGUUCUCAUCAACUUCAAGCAAUUUAAAGCUUUGAUCGAAAAUCAAACAGGAAAGAAGAUCAAGCGAUUCCGGACGGAUAAUGGCUUGGAGUUUUGCUCAGGUGAAUUCAAUGAGUUCUGCAAAAAUGAAGGAAUAGUGAGACACCGCACUGUUCGUCGAACACCACAACAAAAUGGAGUUGCAGAACGCAUGAAUAGAACUCUCUUGGAGCGAGCUCGUUGCAUGCGAUCAAAUGCUGGGCUCGGUGAAGAAUUUUGGGCUGAAGCUGUUAAUACUGCUUGUUAUUUGGUUAACAGAUCUCCGUCAACAGCUAUUGAGCUGAAGACUCCUGAGGAAGUAUGGUCUGGUUCUCCUGCUGAUUACUCUGGUUUAAGAGUGUUUGGCUGCCCUGCGUAUGCUCAUGUAAAUGAGGGAAAACUCAAACCGAGGGCGAAGAAAUGCAUAUUUCUUGGAUACGGCCAAGGGGUGAAAGGAUACAGGUUGUGGUGUCCUGAUCCGGUUUCGUCCAAGUUCAUCAUCAGCAGAGAUGUGACUUUUGAUGAGUCAUCCAUGCUUCGAUCCACCACAAAUUCCCGGGAAAAGGAGGAGUCAGAUAGAAUGGGAGAUCACGGUGUUGAGAAGCAGGUGGAGUGUCAGGUGGACGCUCCAAUUCCUACGGAAGGUACUUCAGUCCAGGAUGAUCAAGUUGAGGUGCAAGAUUCCGAUGAAGAUGAGUCACCUCAAGAAAAACCAUAUAGCAUUGCCACUGGAAGAACGAAGAGACAAAUCAAACCAAAUCCGCGUUACGCUAAUCUGGUGUCUUUCGCGCUCAGUGUGGCGGAGUCCAUUGGUAUAGAACCUUCCAGUUAUAAUGAGGCUGUCACGUGUGAUGAGUCGGCACAGUGGGCAAUUGCUAUGAGUGAGGAGAUAGAAUCUCUUCACAAGAACCAUACUUGGGAGUUGGUUAAGCCGCCAAGUAACCAGAAGAUAGUUGGUUGCAAAUGGGUCUUCAAGAAAAAGGAAGGCAUCCUAGGGGUUGAAGCAACUAGAUUCAAGGCACGAUUGGUUGCUAAAGGCUUCACUCAGAAAGAGGGGAUUGACUACAAUGAAGUUUUCUCCUCAGUCGUAAAGCAUUCUUCCAUUCGUGUAUUACUUGCCAUGGUGGCCAAGUCUGAUCUAGAACUUGAGCAGCUUGACGUAAAAACGGCGUUCUUGCAUGGUGAGCUCGAGGAAACAAUCUACAUGCGUCAACCAGAGGGUUUUACAGUUCCUGGUAAAGAAGACCAUGUCUGUCUAUUAAAGAAGUCUUUAUAUGGAUUGAAACAAUCCCCAAGGCAGUGGUACAAGCGGUUUGAUAGCUUCAUGAUUCAGCAUGGUUACACAAGAUGUGACUAUGAUGCUUGUGUCUAUCAUCGGAAGCUCUCAGAUGGUUCGCACAUUUAUUUGUUGCUGUAUGUUGAUGACAUGUUAAUUGCUUCCAAAAACAUGUCGGAAAUCAACAAGUUAAAGUCGCAGUUGAGUGGUGAGUUCGAGAUGAAGGAUCUGGGUGCUGCCAAGAAAAUUUUGGGCAUGGAUAUUCACAGAGAUCGCAAGGCGGGCAAGCUUCGUGUGUCGCAGAAGAACUACAUUGAAAAGGUUCUUCAACGCUUCGGCAUGGAUAAAGCGAAAACUGUGAGUACUCCGUUGGCACCACAUUUCAAACUCUCUGCAGAGUUGUCACCACAAUCUGAUGAAGAAAAGCAGCAAAUGUCUCACAUUCCAUACUCGAGUGCAGUUGGAAGCGUGAUGUAUGCAAUGGUUUGCACUCGUCCAGACAUUUCACAUGCAGUUAGUGUGGUCAGCAGAUACAUGAGUUGUCCUGGCAAGGAACACUGGCAGGCCGUGAAAUGGAUUCUCAGGUACUUGAGAGGUUCUGCAGAUUUAUGCUUGGUAUAUGAUCAGAGUGACUGCACUAGCAGUGUCACGGGCUAUGUGGACUCUGAUUAUGCUGGAGAUCUGGACAAAAGAAGAUCUCUGACGGGUUAUGUUUUCACUUAUUCUGGAGGAGCCAUUAGUUGGAAAGCUGUGUUACAGUCUACCGUAGCCUUAUCUACGACUGAGGCGGAAUAUAUGGCGUUAGCAGAAGCAGUGAAAGAAGCAUUGUGGAUGAAAGGUCUAGUAAGCAGUUUGGGUUUACAACAGGAUUUCACUGUUGUAUUUUGCGAUAGCCAGAGUGCCAUACAUCUGACUAAAAAUCAGAUGUUUCAUGAACGGACCAAACACAUUGAUGUCAGAUAUCAUUUUGUUCGGGAACAUGUUACGCAAGGUGACAUUGUUAUCAGCAAGGUUGCUACCGAGAAGAAUCCUGCAGAUAUGUUAACUAAGGUGAUCCCUGCAUAUAAGUUCAAGCAUUGCUUGGACUUGAUAGGUAUUCGGGAUUGAUUAGCGCCAGAGAGGCGUUUGGAAGAGGUGAUCCAGUUCGAGGAAUUCACUAUGAUGUUCAGCUUGGUAAAUUUCAAGCCAAGGUGGAGAUUUGUUAAGAAAUGGCUUAAAAUUGGUAGUGGAUUGUUGUUGUUGGUAGUGGGUUGUUGGUGGUAGUGGAUUAGUGGAUGGUUGUUGGUGUCCAUUUUCAACCACAAAUCUUUGCCAAAGUUUUGGACAAUUAUGUCCUUGAACUCUCUUAUAAAUAAAGAGGUUCAUUAGCCAUAUUAAUCAUCCCAAACCAAGAGAGAGCAAAGCUUGUUCUUUGAAAGCUAGGAUUUUAGCUUUCGGAUUUUCUAUAGGGGUUGAGAGUUGUGAGGUUCUCGGGUUGUGUCUUGAGUGUAAAACACUUGUAAUCUUCAUCUUGUUAUAGUGAAAUUUCUUUUCGCCUCUGCCCGUGGACGUAGGCAUUAAAGCCGAACCACGUAAAUCCUUGUGUUCACUUUAUUUUUCGUUUCGGUCAAUUUACUUGUAGUCAUAUCGGAGUUCUCGAAUCGAUCCUUUCCGCAACAUAUAUCUUACUGUCUUAUUCAUACUUUUUGUUUGCUUCCAACCAUAUUAUACUUCAUGAUUCACUAAACUAAAAAUGAAAAAGUGCAUAUCGGAUUUUAAUUUCAUUGUAGGCACGAAUCAGAGUUUAUUAGAGACGUUGUUAAGAAGAUAUCAGCAAAAUUAUGUCAGACAUAUCCAGUUGUUCAUGAUGAGUUGGUUGGAAUUAGUUUACAUUUGGAGGAGUUGUAUUCGAAAAUAAAUAUUGGGGAAGACGAUGUCCGCAUUAUCGGAAUUUGCGGAAUGGGUGGCAUCGGUAAAACAACUCUUGCAAGGGUUGCUUACACUCAAAUGUUAGCUCAUUUUCAAGGUAAAUGCUUUCUUGCUGAUAUUCGAGAAGUUUCAAACAAACAUGGACUUGUUUCUUUACAGAAACAACUCCUUUCUCAAAUCAUUCGGAUGAAUGCUUCAAUUUUUUCAAUGUUCAUGAAGGGAAUGCCAUAAUUAGCCACAGGUUGUCUGGUAAAAAGGUUCUUGUUAUUCUUGAUGAUGUUGAUAACAUACAACACUUGAAAUGCUUGGUUGGAAGGCGUGAUUGGUUCAAUUUAGGGAGUAGGAUCAUUGUAACAACAAGAGAUGAACAUUUGCUCAGAUCUUAUCGAAUCGAUGAUGUGUAUAAGCCUACAACACUGAAUCCCAACGAUGCACUUAGGCUUUUCAAUUUGAAAGCUUUUGAUAGUGAUACAACGCCAAAAUAUGAUUUCAUUGAGCUUUCUAAACAAGUUGCACAUUAUGCUGAUGGUCUCCCCUUAGCUCUUGAAGUUUUGGGUUCAUUUUUGUGCGGUAGAGAUAUAAUUCAAUGGAGAAGUGCAAUCGAAAGACUUAUACAAGAUCCUAACAAAGAAAUUCUUGACACACUACGAAUUAGCUUUGAUGGAUUGGAAGAAAGGGAGAAGAAUAUAUUUCUAGAUAUAGCAUGCUUUUUCAAUGGGGAGAAAAAAAGAUUUGGUAAUGAAAGUAUUGGAUGGUUGUGGGUUUUUUCCAGAUAUUGGAAUCGAUGUUCUUAUUAAGAAAUCUCUCAUAAAAGUUGAUGAUGAUAACAAAUAUUUGUGGAUGCAUGCCUUAUUGCAAGAAAUGGGAAGAAAAAUUGUUGAAGAAAAAUGUGUUGAUGAACCCGGAAAACGUUGUAGAUUAUGGAAGGAAAGGGAUGUCCACCAUGUCCUAACAAAAAACACGGUAAAUCAUUCAACAAGAAUUACAUACAAAAAUUUCUUUUAUUAAUAUAUGAUGUAAAUCCAAAGCUUAGUCUAACUGGUUUAUAUAUUGAUCCUUAAGUGACAUUGAGUAGCUUUAAUUUUAUUGAAUUACUUUCAUUAUAAAAUAUUUUAUUUACUAUAUUCCAACCAAAAGAUUGUG